UUUUUAUUCGACUUCAUCUCCGACUAGAGCGUGUGGCAUGCCAUCGCCGACGGUCACCACGCGGACACCGGCCACCUCAGGCAUAGUUAUGCUUAUGAGGCUGUGUUGAGCAUGCUGCCACAGCCAGAGCCACAACCUGAACCAUGGCCACCAGAGUUGGCAUGGUUAGUCUCCCAUGAUCAUGCCACCACAUCCACCGCCACCGCACCCGGCGCCACAGCCUGAACCGCAGCCCCCAGACUUGGCAUGGCUCAUCUUGGAGCCUUCCAUGAUCAUGCGGCCACAUCCGCCGCCACCGCAGCCGGCACCACAGCCUGAACCACAGCCCCAGACUUGGCGUGGCUCAUCUUGGAGCCUUCCAUGACCAUGCCGCCACAUCCGCCGCCACCGCAGCCGGCGCCACAGCCUGAACCGCAGCCCCCAGACUUGGCAUGGCUCAUCCUGGAACCUUCCUUGACCAUGCCGUCACAACCGCCGCCACCGCAGCCGGCGCCACAGCCUGAACCACAGCCUCCAGACUUGGCAUGGCUCAUCUUGGAACCUUCCAUGACCAUGCUGCCACAACCGCCGCCACAGCCUGAACCGCAACCGCCUGACUUGGUGAAGCCAGUCUUGGAGCCUUCAAUGACCAUGCUGCCGCAGCCACCGCCACAGCCUGAACCGCAACCACCUGACUUGGCAAAGCCAGUCUUGGAGCCUUCCAUGACCAUGCUGCCGCAACCACCGCCGCAGCCAGAGCCGCAGCCUGAGCCACAACCACUAGACUUGGUGAAGCCACAACCGCCUGACUUGGCAUGGCCAGUUUUGGAGCCUUCAACCACCAUACCGCCACAACUGCCACCACAACCUGAACCGCAGCCGCUAGGCUUGGCAAUGCCACCCUUGGAACCUUCAAUGGCCAUGCCGCCACAACCUCCACCACCACAACCUGAACCACAGCCACCAGACUUGGUGUUCCCCUCCUUGGAGCUUUCAAUAACCAUGCUGCCACCGCAGGAACCGCCGCAUCCCGAUCCACACCCAGCAGACUCAAUAUGGCCAUUCUCUCCGCCUGCAACGACACCACAACUCGCAUGACCUUUCUUGUAGCUCAUGGUGACCACAGAGACACCACAUCCACCACCACAGCCUGAUCCACAACCACCGCACUUAGAAUCAGCCACCUUGCCGCUUGCAAUGACCGAGCCGGCACAGCUAGCAUGACCAGCCUUGUCACUUGCCAUGACCAUGUCGCCGCCACCGGCCGUGCCACAAGCGCCACAUUGUGCCGGACCAGCAGUGGCGCCUGCUGCUCCACCUUUCACCAUUUCAGAUGCCACUGUAGUAUCAGGCUGACCUUCAAUGAGCUUCGCACCAUGUUUUCCGAUGGAAUUCAGGAACAAGAAUGACAUCGCGAUCCAGGGAAGCAGAAACCAAUCCUCAUCCACCUAAAUUUAAGUAAGAAUGUACCAUGAGUGUAUCUGACAUGCAAGGAAAUUAAUUUUGACUAGUUAGAAGGAUAUGGCGUUAGAGCUGACGAUGUACCGUGAUAAAUUUUGAUUCAGUGUCAACUAGGGCGACUGCUUUGCCAUAGGGGUGUUCAGCCGAGAACUUCACAGCGGUAACUGCUGCUGCAGUAUCUUCAGCAUGCUGACUGCAGCAUUUGAGUUCAUAUGCUAGUCUCCUUCCCUUGUAUAGUUUGAUCUGCUUUGUUCAAAGAAGUACCAAAACUAUGAGUAUGAACUUAAAUGCAUAAACGUUUCUUAUUUACAUAUGAAUUAAUGUAAUCAUUAUCUUCAGAGCAAACAUGAAUUGAGCUGUACACUGCAACUGUCCUUACCAAUUUGUUGUCGUAUUUGAGCUCGUGUAUGCAGCCAUCCUUGCUUGGUUUCAGGUCAUGAGUGACGGAUGGGUUGGAGUUGUUGAGAGACCAUUUGUUUUCCGUGAAUUCUGCAAGCUGAAAUGGAUGCUUUGAUGACUUUGUUACUCCAACCAAUUCUUGAGUGAGAGCCAUGCCACUCUUGGCCUUGUGCUCCCUGAAUUAAGGGGAUGAAUUUCUCAUUAGACUAGAAAAAAAAACAGAUAUUUCAUUCAUAGUAAAAUAAUCCCCGCAAAUUUUUUUAGUAAAUUAGAACUUUGCCGUGUCCACUGGAAUAAAUUUGGAUCUGUUUUGAAGGCGAAAUACAGAUACUUCUAUAUAAGUCGAAUAUUAAUUCCUGCAGAAAACACCAAUUUGCAGUUUGAAAUGAAACUGUUAUUGGCAAUCGAUGUAUCACAUAGUAACUUUUUAUUCGUUUCUGCAACAGAAAAAAAAAUCCAAGUAUCAUGCAAGACGUACUAAUCAGCAGACAAAUGCGUUUCUAGACUCAAUGUUCAGUUCUUCACAUAUAUGUGCCGACUGAUGCCACGGACAGCGAAAAUACCUUAUCUGAAGACGAAUGAGUUCAGUACCACAAUCAUACACGAAGCGAGUCCAGGAGCUCAUAUCUUGAUCCUUGGUGGAAUGUGGCAAUAGACAGGCCUUCAGAGAGCAAGGCUUCACAUUCACCAUGCUAAGAACCUGUGAAGCCUGCCUUGGGACAGUACAAGAUGCGGCGACACGAAGACUGACAGGAGGGGAACCAGCAUAAGCGCCGCAACUUUUCAGUUCAAACCACCUCUCAAAGGAGAGCUUGGAAUCAUGCUGUGUAAGCUCUUGAAGAGAGAUCGAAACCUUCCCCAACGGUUCCGAUUUCUUCGAUGACGAUGCCCCAGAAUAGGCCAGAUCAACCAUUACUGUAAGAAUGAGUUCGCCGGUAGGUUCGCAUUGGAAACCAGCUCCAAUACUCUUCCCUAUUUUCGAUGAAAUAUCCAACCUGCCGCCAUCACCGAUAAGUGCAUCUGGUUGAGUCUUGGUGAACCAUACAUACACACUUUUCUCUGGAAUUGCAGAUGGUAAGUUCUUGAUGUCCACAAUCUGUAAGUAUAACUACAAAAGUAUGAAAAUAUUUUGAGUUAGUAAAUUCAGUAACUGUCUCUUGGCGCUGGAUCGUGUUUUUAGAUAACUGAUACCAGGCGUUUCUUCCAAAUUAAUAAUCUAAUAUUAAUAGUAGUACAACAUACAACAUUUUGGGUUAACUUACUAGAUCAGAAAAAACUUUGAAUCCAAAAUUAUUGACUACUUGUCUAACUGUUGCUUCAUGGACAGCAAUAAGAUGUAAAAAGAAUAUCAUACCUCCACAACUGCUGUUUCAACAACAGCAAGACGCUUCUCCGCUUCAUCGACACCAAAAACACCAUCUUCCUCACCACCAAAUUCUAUCCGAGGAACGGAUGUCACGGGAGACGGCAAGCUUCCACGGUACAUAGCGCCGGCCUUCCAGUACCUCACACCAAAGCAAUCCUCGAACUGCUCGGUGGUGCCUGAAAACCCGGUGUCGAGCUUCUUCCCUUCGGCCCGAUCGUCGUCCGUGUCAUCGUGCUCCAGAACUCUCCCAAGGAGACCCACCAUGUCAUCGCGGUAGGCAAGAGGAUUCAGUUGGUGGGUGUGCCACAUCAGAUCCACAUCGUAGGUUGGCACACGGAAGAGGUUCGUUCCUUUCUCCUGGUUCAUCUUGAUCAGAUACAAAAACCCUUUGUACCGAGCCAAAGCGUCUUCAAGGAAACGGCGAUCAUGCAUGGUUGGUGUUCCAACCUGCCAGAAACGAAGGAAUUCACUGAAUUUCUCUACAUAUUUAUUUAACAGAGCAAAGUUUAGUAGUGUGACCAGCUACCUGGUAGACGAAAGAAGACUGUCUCUUAACAGCUGAGAUCAAAUCGUAGGAAAUGCCUCCUGCGGUUCCAUCGCCCACGUAAACAGAUUCUGUAGUGUACUCCAACUCAAAGGGCUCCCCAGGAUAUAACUCGGUCCAAACUUUCUCGGACGGAUCCUUGGACUUUGCUUGAACGGAGGACUUGACAUUGUUAGAGUCCAAUAUCCUGCCAUAUAAUCUCUUGCAAUCCUUUAUGUAUCGAUUCUGAAACAAGAUGAUUUUGAUUUAGAAAUUAUUUCCAGCCAUGUUGACACUAGUAUUUUCUUUUAUGCCAGGUGUUGCAAACAUAUACUGCUAGUUCUCCAAUGUUGUGAUGACAGAUUUUGAACGACACACGAACAUCUGUGAGUUAAUAUAUGUGUACCGGGUUAAGCCGAUGGCAGUGCCAUAUCCAUUCGCAGUCAAGCGGAACAACCAGAGGCUCAUCAUCUGCAAGAAUAGCGGCCUUGGUGUGCUUGGCAAGAAGGGGAAGCCAGCAAGCUUUGUACCUAGCACAACAACAAAGUCAGACAAUAUUUCGAAGUCUUCCAUACGAUACAGAACAUAAACUAAUUUAGCACCGGUGAUAUUUUUUACAUAGUAGUAUAAUCAGUGAUUUCAGCAUGAUAUACAGGGUCUUUAAAAGUAAAAUAGGCAGACAGAUUUAAUUACAUGCCAAAACUAUCUAGAUAAGGCCCGAAACUGUAGCACCAGACUGUAACUGGAAGCACAGACCAGAGGAUGGUUUCAGAAGGAAAAAUUACUGGCGAUUAUCGAUGCCAUUCCUUAUUAUAAAACUGAAAACCCAAACAUAUAUUCUCAGUUCAACUCUGUUCCACCGACCUAAUUAUACCAAGGUUAACUGAACUAGUGUUUUCUUUCUGUCUGAUUUUGCUGAAGAAGCAUGUGUCUGUCAGGGUGAUUCAACAGGAGUUUACCGAAGAAACAUGGCAACGAUUAAUCACUGAGAAAAUUUCACUCCCAGCACAAGAAGACGCCAUAGAUGGUAGAAAGUGUUGAUCAACAAUACCCAGAAGAUAAAAGAAAAAACGAUGAAACGCCUCGGAAAACAAACUAGAUUCACAGACGCGAUGGUCUCUCUUGUGCUGCUCAAGAGGCAACAGGAUGGAUGGCGAUAGUCGGUAGGUACCUGCGUAUGGCCCUGUGGAGCAGCGGGCCGUCGUAGAGCCACCGGCGGCGGUCGACCGCGGCGAGGAACUCCAGCUGCCGCAGCGCGGCCGGGACGAGGUCCUCGCCGAUGCCGAUCCCCUGCGCCGCCGCCCACCGCGACUCCUGCUCCGCGUCCAUCUUUCUUCUCCCUCCUUGCUCCGAUCGUCCCCACCCCACCCACCUGCAAGAACCUGAGUGAGGGAGACUGCGCUACGGACUCCGAUGGCUGACUCUCUGCCACCAAGUAACCAUGCAUGGCUCCCUAUUUAUGCACCGAGGGAGGGAGCCAGGAGCACGCAAAUAGUGUACGGCGAGGCAAAACACAGCACAGAGAUAAAUUAUUGACCAACUGAAAUACUCCACUAGCAUCGAUCGCUAUCCAAUCCACGGCGAAUAAUGUAUGAGCUGCUUUCAGUUAAGGGCACUCGUACGUAGCGUGUGCUGCGCGCGCAUGAACAACUCUGCACGCUUUCUGAACCCAUACGAUAUCCAUCCAUGCAUGAUCGAUCUUUCUUGCCAACUAUGCACACUUGUGGCUGCUGGUACUGCAAAAGCAAAUGCAAGUGCAAGUGCAAGUGCAUGCAUCUUCUACCAACUCUCCAGCUUCCUUUUGCAGCUCGUUUAGAAACUUUGAAAUGCAGAAAAAGAUAUUACACCUGCUAUAAAUACUAUGCACACAGUAGUACGACAAGUUUUUAGAUCAGUGACAAGAAGUAAAAUUUAGUCUGGAUCAUGUAACAAAACCGUGGCAAUAAUUUCGCAGGACCCUAGCUAAUCCUUGCAAAAAGUAUUGUUGCUUGCAAACCCAAGAAAACUAUGUGAUGUAACACAUCACGCUUGGACUAUUCAAUAAUGGAGAUGCUCGGCCUGUGCGGAUCAUGCCGCUUCCGGAGCAUACGCAGCACGAUAGUAGUACACUCGUACUGCAGUAGUACAGGGCUCAAGGCGUUUGAUCGUACGGUACGUCACAUGGCCGUGGUUUCUGCCAGGUCAUCUCCGCACCGGAUAAACAAUUCUGGGGCGGAAUUAUGCUAUUAUUACAGAUUAGAGCAUCUCCAAAAGUUCCAUAAAAUAAUUACAGUUUAGGGGAAGUUGGGCACACAAAAAACAGUCUCCAAACAUUUCCAUAAACGCCCAAGAAAUUACAAAUAAUCCCGUGUAACCUUAAAAAAAACCUUCAUCUACGGGAAGAUGACCGCCCUUUCCGUAAAAGUGUCACACCACCCAAUCCCCAUUGGACGCCCCCCCCCCCACCACCACCAACGACUGUCGUGCAGCUUGCUCGCCGUCGCUGAACAACAUCGUAUGAUGUCACCACCGUUAGUUGGGGUUGCGUCACCACGAAAAACCACUUAUAGGGAAAGUUUUCACGGAACUGAGAAAAGACCGCACCUUGGAACUUCCUCCAAGUUAUAUGGACAUCCCGUAAAACCACUUCUAUGGAGAAUUUUUUACAGAAACCGUUGAAGAUGCUCGUCCGUUGGGUUUAUAUGGUGUUUGAUUGGGUUUAUUCUUGGCUUUUGCACUUUGGUUUAUAAGCUCAAAAACAUCUAUUUAUGGGAUUCUGGCUUUAGCUUUUGGCUUACAUAAACAUGUAGCAACACUGAGUCAUAAGUCUAAAGCGUAUAAAUAGGUCAUUUUUUUGGUUUACAAACCAAAGUGUAAAUGCCAGAAACAUGACCAAGUCUCACGUUGGUUGUCGGAGGUAGAAGAUGACUUAUAAGAAUGUAGUGUCCCCUCCUAUCAAGCUGGUCUUUCAGACAAUAUCUUAUUUUUGACCCUCUUUAGAAAGGGAAUUUUUGUUUUAGCCAUUGUAGAUUUUGCUCAUUUUCCUUAUCCCACUCUAGUUUUUGACAUGUCACUUUUGUCACUCUUAGCUUUUGACAAUACAUCACAAUUGUCAUUUCAUGGCAAAAGCAAAAUAAUUUCAUUUCACUUUUGCCAUUUUCUAUGUAGGUUAUGAGGCAAAGCAACAAAGACUAAGACCGAGCAAAACAACAUAUAAUCUAGUGAAAUGUGCUAAAAUUGAUAACAAAAUUCAUGAUGCUUGUAUUGUAUCUAAUGCCAAAGUAAAUUACGUGGAGAUCGGGCGACAUAAAAAACUUAGCAAAUUAUGUAGGGGAACCAUCAUCAACUCCCCACGAGUACCGUUGCUUGUUUUCUUAUUGUUCUUAGGCGUCAUCCCAUUGUAUAUGUUCUACUAUUUGCGGCACAUUUGAAUUAUCUAGGAUUAUAUGUUGUGCCAAAUAUUAGUUGCAUACUCUUGCUGGGAUGGAUUGCUCUUGUCUUGCACCGCCUUUUUGCGGCACGAGAUGUAAAUGAUUCAAGGCCAAGUGUGGUGUAGGCAUGCAAUGGCAUCAUAUCACUUAACCUAGUAAAUGUAAAAACAUACAUGCCCAUAAAAUAUCAAAAAAUGAGCAACACCAACGACUCCAGGAUAAACCACUCACUCACAAUUUAUUUACUCUAGAAUUUUUUUAAAUCAGUAGAUUUUUAGUUAUCCCUUCUAUUUACUUACACCUAAAAACAAAAAUCUUGCACUCUAGAAACCUCCGUCAACUUUAGAUAUUUCUCCCAUGGUAUUUAAAGAUACUAUAAAAGACAGAAUGAUAUAUACAUAUACUUAGAAUUUAUCUAAGUGGCAAAAUGGAAUAGGUGAUAGAAUGCGAGUUUGAUCUUUUUGGCUUUUCUUUGCUACAGAGGAAUUCUGAUCUAACGGGGGCUUUUAAGGGGAACUAUCUAAAGAAGGAAACUAUAAAUGCCACCUUUUAUGCAUACUAUAUUCUAUAAAUAUAGUGUAUGUAUAAUUGUAUUGUAGAUGUUAAAAUUGUAUAACAUGAGUAUUUUAUCACAAUAUAUAGUAGCAUUGUUGGGAAACUAAAUCGGUCCAGACAGUAUGUUGAGAUAAUAAGUUAAAAAUAAGUAAAAAAAUGUAGUAUAAAUAAAUGAAUAUAAUUUAGGCUAUCUUACUUGUAAAAUGAACCCAUGGUCUACCGUCGGUCUGUCGCCAUAGCCCUGAGCUUCUCGACUCGUGCGGCGUCCGAAAGCAGUGGCGGAACGAGGAACGAAAUGAAGGGUGUGCACACUUUAAAAAAAAAUCCUACCUAAUCCAAGUGUAACAAAAUAUGGCAAAAGAAUUACAUAAAUAGCUCAAUUCAAAUCUCACAACCAUUUAGUUCACAAAAUAUAUCCCAAAUGUGCUCAGUUACAAUACAAAAGGCUUACAUGAAAGAAACAGAAGUAAAAAAUUACAACACUAGGUAACUCUACGUCGUUACAUUGCCAUGAAAGCAUCAACUAUUUCAUCUUCACUUACUUUCAUGAACACAUCUCGCUCAAUGAAUAUCAUCAAGCAAUUAUUCAAGCGAUCAUCACCCAAGCUAGUCCUCAAUUUAUUUUUCACUAGAUUCAUUGCAGAAAAUACCCUUUCAACACUCGUCGUUGCCACUGGUAAAAUCAAUAUCAAUUUGAUGAGUAAGUGGACCAAAUCAUAAAGAACAUGCUUCUUUGUUGCAACAAGCAAAAUAGAGAGAUCACCAAUAUUACUUGCAUUUCUAAACCUAUCAUCUUGUCUCAUAUCAUAAAUAAAAGUACCAAGUUGAAAUUCUAGCCUUAUCAAAUCCGUGCUUGAUAUGUCCAUGGGAUAGAAUUCAACAAGUUUUAUUUCCUUGAAUGCAUCAUAAGAAGCAAAUGAAUUGAGGGGAUUCAAAGCCGACAUGCAAAUAAGCAACUCCGUAUUAACCUCGUCAAACCGGUUGUUAAGCUCUUGAAUGAUUUGGUCAAUGACACCAAGAUAUAUUUCUCUUCUAUAACGAUCAUCAUUUGUUUGUACUUCAUAAUACCGACGUGAUCUUCCAUGAUGCUCAUAAGUAUCCUGCCAUAAAGGAACUUGAAUGCCAUGUUUGUUGCAAAAUAAGGUUAGCUUUGCAAGAAAUUCUUCCCAACCAUGACACCUCAUGUGUUGCAUUCUACUCUUUGCCAAACUAACAAGUGCCAUUGCAUUAACAAUAUAUUAAUCUCUCUUUUGCAAAGAUUUGGACAACUCAUUUGUAUAGCCAAGAAUAACAAGCAUCAAGUGAAGAUUGAAAACAAAUUCAAAUGAUUCAAUGGCUUGAGUAACUCCAUGUAUUCUUGUCCAUUCACCUUUUUGUGAAGGAUCUUUUCCAAUGGCGUCAAGUACCUCAAGAAUUGUGGAAUACAUAUGCUAACAAUAUGCAUAAUGGUUUUAAAAUGAGAAACCCAACGAGUAUCGCCGGGUCUAGAUAGUCCCAUCUCUUGAUUUAGCCCACUUCCACUUUCAAUCUCACCCAUUUCAAGAGCUUCCAAAACCUUUUGAGCUCUAACAUCUCGAAGCAUGUCAUGUCGCCUACAAGAAACUCCAACUACAUUGAGCAAGUAAGAAACAUGAUCAAAGAACCACAAACAUGGUUCAUUAUCCUUUGCCACAGCUAUAAGAACCAAUUGAAGUUGAUGUGCAAAACAAUGGAUGUAAUAGGCCGAGGGUGACUCUUUCAUGACCAAAGUUUUCAAUCCUUUAGUCUCCCCUUUCAUGUUGUUAGCCCCAUCAUAUCCUUGCCCACGUAUUUGACUAGGUGUCAAAUGAUGAUCUUUAAGCAAAGUUUGAAUUGCAUCCUUAAGUGACAAUGAAGUUGUAUUGGGAACAUGAACAACUCCAAGGAACCUCUCAUACCCUCUUCCCGAUUUAUCAACAUAACGUAUGUAGAGAGCAAGUUGUUCUUUGUGAGAUGCAUCACUGGACUCAUCAGCUAGGAUUGCAUAGUGGUCAUAACCAAUAUCUUCAAUAAUUCUUUUAGUUGUUUGCGCCGCACAACAUUCAAUUAUUUGAUUUUGUAUCUUUGGACUAGUCAAUAUGCAAUUCCCAGGAGCAUUGUUCAGAACAACCUUAUUAACUUCUUCUUCAUUUGCAGAAAGUCAUUUAAGAAGUUCAAGAAAGUUCCCCCUAUUGCUAGAGUCUUCACUUUCAUCAUGUCCACGAAAUGCCAAUCCUUGGUUCAAAAGAAACCUCAAGCAUCUAAGUGAAUAAGUUAGCCUAGCCAUGUACAUACGUAGAUCCUCUUUAGACGCCCUCACAAUGAUAUCAUCAAUUGAUGGUUGGGGUAACACAAACAAAUUGUACUUCUCUUGAGCUUUGUUGUGAAUGCUAUUUAUACCACCUUCAUGUUUGUCUAAUGCAUCAAGACCUAUACCAAUUUUUCCAAGCACCUUUAACAAAUGUAUCACCCCUAGGUCCCCCAUUCGAUUUGCCUUUGAACAAAUAACACACAAAGCAAAAUGUUGCCUCAUAUUUGACACUAUAUUCUAGCCAUUUAUAGUUCUCAAACCAAACAAAGUUGAAGUGUCGAUUUUUACCAUACAUUUUCUUGACUUCAAAGUUGUGUGCAUAUGGUUGGAUUGCAUUCUUUGCAAUGUACCGUUUCCGAACUUUAUCUUGAUCACCGACAUCAUACUCUGAAAUAGGAAUCCUUUCCCCUGGAUUAGUUGGAAGCCUUUGAAUAUUAUAUGAUCUUGCAUUUGGAUGUUGAGGUGAUGGUUGUCGUGGCGCUUCAUCAUCAAUAUCAAUGUCAAUCUCUAGAUCGGAAUGGACUGGAGGUGAAUAAAUAUCAAUGUCAAUCUCUGAAUCUAAAUGGAGUGGAGGCAGUGGAGGUGGAUCAAUAUCAGGUUUAUGUUGCUCUUGGGCUGCAACCUUUCUUGUUUUUGCCUCAUAAUUGAGGAAAAAUGACUUAAUGUCAUCAUUCCUCUUCAUCUUCAGAUGUACUAUAAUUAAAACAUAAUGUCACUACAAAGUUGUAACUGCAAAGAGCAAAGUCUGCAAACAAGAUACAAACUCAUCCACCAAGCAACUCACCCACGAGCCAUGAGGCCACAACGAGCGGCUCUGCCCUGGGCGAGCAGCGACGCACCGUCGGAGCGGCAGGACUGGGAGCAGUGGCGGAAGCUCCGCGGCUGGGCAGGCAGUGCCGGAAUGGCGGAAGACCGUGUUGGGGAACGUCGCAUGGGAAACAAAAAUUUUCCUACGCGCACGAAGACCUAUCAUGGUGAUGUCCAUCUACGAGAGGGGAUGAGUGAUCUACGUACCCUUGUAGACCGUACAGCAGAAGCGUUAGAGAACGCGGUUGAUGUAGUGGAACGUCCUCACAUCCCUCGAUCCGCCCCGCGAACAAUCCCGCGAUCAGUCCCACGAUCUAGUACCGAACGGACGACACCUCCGCGUUCAGCACACGUACAGCUCGACGAUGAUCUCGGCCUUCUUGAUCCAGCAAGAGAGACGGAGAGGUAGAAGAGUUCUCCGGCAGCGUGACGGCGCUCCGGAGGUUGGUGAUGACCUUGUCUCAGCAGGGCUCCGCCCGAGCUCCGCAGAAACGCGAUCUAGAGGAAAAACCGUGGAGGUAUGUGGUCGGGCUGCCGUGGAAAAAUCGUCUCAAAUCAGCCCUAAAACCUCCGUAUAUAUAGGUGGGAGGGAGGGGACCUUGCCUUGGGGCUCAAGGAGCCCCAAGGGGGUCGGCCGAGUCCAAGGGGGAAGGCUCCCCCCAAAACCGAGUUGGACUUGGUUUGGUGGGAGGGAGUCCUUCCCUUCCUUCCCACCUCCUCUUUUUUUUCCUUUUCUCUUGAUUUUCUCUUCUUGGCGCAUAGGGCCCUUUUGGGCUGUCCCACCAGCCCACUAAGGGCUGGUGUGCCACCCUCAAGGCCUAUGGGCUUCCCCGGGGUGGGUUGCCCCCCUCGGUGAACUCCCGGAACCCAUUCGUCAUUCCCGGUACAUUCCCGGUAACUCCGAAAACCUUCCGGUAAUCAAAUGAGGUCAUCCUAUAUAUCAAUCUUCGUUUUCGGACCAUUCCGGAAACCCUCCUGACGUCCGUGAUCUCAUCCGGGACUCCGAACAACAUUCGGUAACCAACCAUAUAACUCGAAUACGCAAGAAACAACGUCGAACCUUAAGUGUGCAGACCCUGCGGGUUCGAGAACUAUGUAGACAUGACCCGGGAGACUCCUCGGUCAAUAUCCAAUAGCGGGACCUGGAUGCCCAUAUUGGAUCCUACAUAUUCUACGAAGAUCUUAUCGUUUGAACCUCAGUGCCAAGGAUUCAUAUAACCCCGUAUGUCAUUCCCUUUGUCCUUCGGUAUGUUACUUGCCCGAGAUUUGAUCGUGAGUAUCCGCAUACCUAUUUCAAUCUCGUUUACCGGCAAGUCUCUUUACUCGUUCCGUAAUACAAGAUCCCGCAACUUACACUAAGUCACAUUGCUUGCAAGGCUUGUGUGUGAUGAUGUAUUACCGAGUGGGCCCCGAGAUACCUCUCCGUCACACGGAGUGACAAAUCCCAGUCUCGAUCCAUACUAACUCAACGAACACCUUCGGAGAUACCUGUAGAACAUCUUUAUAGUCACCCAGUUACGUUGCGACGUUUGAUACACACAAAGCAUUCCUCCGGUGUCCGUGAGUUAUAUGAUCUCAUGGUCAUAGGAACAAAUACUUGACACGCAGAAAACAAUAGCAACAAAAUGACACGAUCAACAUGCUACGUCUAUUAGUUUGGGUCUAGUCCAUCACAUGAUUCUCCUAAUGAUGCGAUCCCGUUAUCAAGUGACAACACUUGCCUAUGGCCAGGAAACCUUGACCAUCUUUGAUCAAUGAGCUAGUCAACUAGAGGCUUACUAGGGACAGUGUUUUGUCUAUGUAUCCACACAAGUAUUGUGUUUCCAAUCAAUACAAUUAUAGCAUGGAUAAUAAACGAUUAUCAUGAACAAAGAAACAUAAUAAUAACUAAUUUAUUAUUGCCUCUAGGGCAUAUUUCCAACAGACCGGAGGGGCGGAGCCGCGGAGGGCAGAUGGCUAGGGCGCCGGAGCCGGAGCGCGAUGGAGCGGGGGAGCCGGGGCCAGAUGGGACGAGGGGAGCCGGGGAGGACCGGCGGUCGCGGCGACCGGCGGGGAGGCGCCGAGCAACGGCGGCCCGGCGGCCGAGCGCGAGCCCUAGCGGGGAGCAGGUUGCGGCGUCCUCUAUGUUAGGAAUUAAUUAAAUGUAUUAAUUAAUGGGAUAAUCCCUGCGUUGCCGGUUGCCUUGUUUUAGCAACCGUUCCUUGUAAACCGCCUCUGUAACAGGGGUAUAAAUACCCACAUCUUCAAUCAAUGAAAACACUGUUCCAUCAUUCUGUCACUUUCACUACUUUACACGUUAUCAGCGCUCGCUCUGCCGAGAGCGACAGAGAGCCAAGAGAAAGGUGAGAAUGGCAGGGAGAGAUUUGUCCUCGCUUGCUUUUGCUUUCGCACGUUUCCUGCAGAAAGAAGACAGCCGCUUCACUCGCACGCAGCGCCACCGCAUUGCACGUCGCCGUCAGGGUCUUGGUGCAAGGAAUGGCCCUCGCCGCCGUUCCUUCACCAGGAACCACCGCCAGAACCGGAGUGGCCCUCAUCGCCGCUUCUUCGCCGGGAACCACCGCCAGAACCGCCGCCGUGGGGCCAUCAGCGUCGUUCCUCGAAGAAGAUGUGAUGUUCCCCUGUGAACUUGCGCCGCCGCCUCUUCCUCCAUACUGCAUGCAGCACGGAUUCGGGCCAUGCCCUGCGCGCACGGAUGGCCACGUCCCGGAGCUGCCAUCCCCGACGCCGGCAGCGGCAGCACACACCGGCCCCGUCCCGGAUCUGCCAUCUCCGACACCGGAUCGAGAGGAACGAGGCGGUUAUCCCACCAUCCCCAUCUUGAACAUCCAGAUCAAGGUUGAAGAAGAGGGGAUGGAGGCCAUGGGCUCGUCGUCGUCGCUCCGCCCUCCAUCACCGGCGAUACCUCCUCCUCCUCCGGCUCCGCCCCUUCCGCUGACGCCACCGCCGGAAGCUCGCCGGAUCCUGUGCUAGUUCGCCGCUGCUAUGGCGCAGAACCGGGCGGCUCUUCGUGGCGCGUGGUCGCCGGACGCCCUGGGCUUCGCCGGCGCACCGGAGGCAAGCAGCAGCGGGAGUAGCCGGGCUGCGCUGCGGGGCCAGCCCCGUUUUCCUUGAAGCAGCCAUGGGGAGAGGAGGCUGGAGUUGUGAGGUGUUUGGGUCUGCAUCGGGAAGAAGAUGGGAAACAGGAGAGAAGUGGCUGUGUGGCCUCGGCUUGCUGCCUUGCUCUCUCCCUUAUCCAUUUCUCCAACCGGUAUAUGGUCCAACACAGGCCACGUCCACUCCAAACUCCAAGCCACGUUUUCCUCUCCAAAAGGCCUACAAGCCACGUUUCCUCUUCAAAAGGCAUACAGGCCAGGAAAUAAAGUGACUAUUAGCGUUGUGUUUUAAUCAUAGUACUACUAUGCUGCAAUUACUAUAUUGCACUGCAGAUUGUUCCUUUUUAUUUCAGUGUGAUAUGUUAUUGUAUUAAGAACCUCUCCUUAUCAUAUUCACUCGGUAUUGUACUGUAGUAUGAAUACUUAGAUUGUAUAUUGUCUAAAAUAAAGUCUCAGAUUAUGUGUACAUAUUCUAUAUAAUUGCCUCAGCAAUUUUCAUUUUUUUAGAAUAUGUAGUUUUCAAGUACAAUUUUUUUUUAAUUCAAAUUUUUGGGAUCACAAGGUAGAUGAGGCAUCUACUGCAUUUUGCAGAUUAUCCUCAUCGCUGAAAGAUCUACAUUUUGCCUUCGUUAUUUUGGCAAAAUGACUAUCUUCGAGUGCUCUCCCGAAUAUGCGAAUUAAUGUGACUACCUCAAAUUUUUACAAAUCACAAGGUAAUUGUGUGAUCUACUGCAUAAUUUGCAGAUUAUCCACUCUUGCUGAGAGGUCUACAUCUAGUCUUUUGACAAGAUGACUACCUUCAAAGUGUUUUUGUAAAAUAUAGUAUGACACAAGGUAAUGGACUACGAACAUCUACUGGUCAAAACCAGACUAUGUUCUCCACUACUAUGAGAUCUACACCCCAACGGUGAAUAUUUUCGAAGUGUCAUAUACAUAAAAUGAGGUCUACACAUAAAGCAUCAGCUAUACUUGAAAAUUUUGCUUCCUAAAGCAUUUGUUGUAACUUAUAUUUUACUCUCAUAGUAAAACUAAAUUAUGCAUGAAAAUACCAUGCAGGAAAUGGCUGGUGUCAUGCAUCGUGAAUUUCAUGAACUUGAACUAGAUGGUAGUAUCUAUUUACCAUGGGCUAUGGAUGCAAAGAUAGCCCUCGAAAGCCGUAAACUCGGUUUCACUAUCACCACACCCGUUGAAGGCGCCGGAGAAAUCCCCACGGCAGCCAAAUAUAGAGCUUUAAGUUUCUUAAGGCACCAUCUCCAUUCAGACUUAAAGUCGGAAUAUUUGAUGGAAGAAGAUCCACUGGUUUUGUGGAACUCUCUCAAGGAGAGAUAUGACCAGCAAAGAGCAGUCAUGCUGCCAGAAGCACAGAGAGAAUGGUCCCUCAUAAGGUUCCAAGACUUCAAAUCUGUGGCAGCAUAUAACUCUGCAGUUCACAAGGUUAACUCAAAACUAAGGUUUUGCAAUCAAGAAAUUUCUGAAGAAGACCUUAUUGAGAAGACCUUGUGCACUUUCCACCCCUCGAUGAGGGUACUACAAUAGAAGUACCGUCAACAAAAAUACAAAAAGUAUUCUGAGCUCAUAUACACUUUACUUCAGGCUGAGAAACAUGAUGAACUUCUCAUGAAGAAUCAUCAGACACGCCCAACGGGCUCAAUGCCACUCCCUGAAGCACAUGCUAACACUCAGUUUACUAAAAAGUAUGGGGGCAACAAAAAGAAUUUCAAAAAAUUCAAUGGAAAGUGGAAAAGGAACAACAAGCAGAAAAGCUUUGGUCAAUCUAAAGGUAAAGGUCACUUCAAGAAAAAUGACCGAAACACCAACUCCGAGAUUUGUCAAAGAUGUGGAUGUACUAACCAUCGUACUAGUAAAUGCCGAACUCCCAAGCAUCUAGCGGAUUUAUACAUCAAAUCCACUGGGAAAGGCAAACAAGUUCAUGGAAAAGCCGAAGCUCACUUCAACGCCUUACAACAAGAAGAAAACCUUGAAGCUAGCACUUCUCAAAGCGCUCCUAAGGAAACAAGGCAGAAGGAUGAAGAUCUUCUUGAUGUUGGCAACAUGAUGGUGGAAUACACCCAAGACGCAUAGAGAUCUUAUAUAAUCUCCACAUCACUCAUUUGAUGUUAUCAACUAUUUUAUUGUAAUAAUGGAUGUUAUAAUUUGUAUAACUCUAAGUAGAAUAAAAGUCCUACGGACCAAUCGUAUUAUGUAAUUCAAACAUAAUGUCAUAUUUAUAUUUGUAACUGUAAUAUGAAUACUUUGUAUGUAUAUAUUUAUAUGUGAGUAAUAUGAAUAAAGUUUCAUCCUAAAAUAUUCUUUUACUCUAUAUAGAUUUUACGGGAAAAUAAUCCAAUGGAAGAAGAAUUAUGUUUGGUGGACAGUUGUACCAGUAACACAAUAUUAAGGGAAAUAAAAUAUUUCCAAACUCUAACUAAGAGAAAAGGGAAUAUUAUGACCAUUGACAGUCGCGAUGCGUCGAUUAUUGGUUCAGGACGAGCCACACUCGUUCUACCUAUGGGUAGUACAAUUGCAAUUGAGGAUGCACUAUUGUAUCCUCAAUCUACACGCACUCUUCUAAGUUUCAAAGACCUCAGAUCAAAUAACUUCCAUUUGGAAACAAUAUCUGAAAAUAAUUUUGAACAUUUGCUUUUAACAAAGAGUAAUGGGUCUGAGAAACAAAUUCUUGAGAAAUUCCCCUCACUUUCAUCUGGAUUAUAUUACAGUUAUAUAAAACCCGUACCACAUGUUGCGUACAAAAUAAUUUUUCAAGAUCUUGAUAAAUUCAAGACUUGGCAUGAUCGCCUAGGUCAUCCUGGCGUAGGGAUGAUGACAAAAAUUAUUGACAAUUCUAUUGGUCACAGCCUUCCAACUAUAAAUUUCCCAAAAUCAUCAGAUUUUGUGUGCACCGCAUGUGCAACUGGAAAAUUAAUUAUAAAACCAUCUUAUCUUAAAGUUAAAAAUGAGUCAUUAAAUUUUCUUGAACGCAUUCAAGGAGAUAUAUGUGGUCCAAUUCAAGCACUAUCAGGACCUUUUAGAUAUUUCAUGGUGCUCAUAUAUGCAUCUACUAGAUGGUCACAUGUGUGUCUAUUGUCCACACGAAAUCAUGCUUUUUCCAAGCUAAUUGAUCAAAUUAUCAAAUUAAGAGCAAAUCAUCCUAAAAAUAGGAUAAAAACAAUUCGAAUGGAUAAUGCCGCUGAAUUUUCUUCACGUGCAUUCAAUGACUAUUGCAUGGCUAUGGGCAUUCAUUUAGAACAUUUUGUGCCUUAUGUUCAUACUCAAAAUGGUUUGGCUGAAUCUCUCAUCAAAAGAGUAAAAUUAGUUGCUCGACCACUAUUACAGAAUUGUAAUUUACCAGCAUCAUGUUGGGCACAUGCGGUAUUACACGCCGCAGAUCUGAUACAAAUCAGACCAACUGCAUAUCAUACAACCUCCCCGCUACAACUAGUACGUAGCACUCAGCCAAGUAUUUCCCAUCUACGAAAAUUCGGUUGCGCAGUAUACGUACCGAUAUCACCACCGCAGCGUACAUCCAUGGGCCCCCACAGAAAACUAGGGAUCUAUGUGGGUUAUAACUCUCCGUCAAUAAUAAAAUAUCUUGAACCUCUUACAGGGGACCUGUUUACUGCCCGCUACGCUGAUUCAAUUUUUGAUGAGGACCAUUUUCAGGCAUUAGGGGGAGAAUCAAACCACAAAGAAUGCCAGGAAAUAGAUUGGAAUGUAACAGGCAUUCAGUCCUUAGAUCCACGUACUAAAGAAUCUGAAACUGAAGUUCAGAGGAUCAUAGAUUUGCAACAUAUUGCAAAUAAUCUGCCAGAUGCAUUUACUGACCAUAAAGGUGUCACUAAAUCACAUAUUCCCGCUGUUAAUGCACCAGAACGAGUGGAGGUACCAACUAAAACCACUCAAACCACAAAUGAGAGUAAGAGGGGGAGAAAUCUGGUUAGUCGGAAUAUAGCUUCUCAAAAGCCUCCGCGGAAACAGAGGAAAUCAAAUCCUCUACCAGUAAAUGCAAUUCAACCUCAAGUUGAAGGACACCAACCAGAUGCUCAACAUCUUGAACCUAGCAUAAAUGCGCAUAAAAACAUAAUUGCUGGGACAUCGGAACACCAUGGUUCUAUUGUUGUGGGAAAUCACAUAGAGUCUGAAGGUAUAAAAGAAAUUUCCAUAAACUAUACAGAAUCAGGAGAAUCAUAUAAUAGAGAGACUACAAUUGUCGACAUAUAUUUCGCCUCUAAAAUUGCUGAAACCCUUCAACUGGAUCCAGAACCAAAGACCGUCAGGGAGUGCCUCAAGCGUCCUGAUUGGCCUAAAUGGAAGGAAGCAAUUGAGGCAGAAGUGCGCUCGCUCAACAAAAGAGAGGUAUUUUCCUCGGUAAUACCUACUCCUCAUAAUGUAUUCCCUGUUGGAGCAAAAUGGGUUUUUGUUCGAAAAAGGAAUGAAAACAAUGAGGUGGUGAGAUACAAAGCGAGGCUUGUAGCACAAGGGUUCACGCAGAGGCCCGACAUCGAUUACGAUGAUACAUACUCUCCUGUAAUGAGUGGAAUAACGUUUCGAUACUUAAUAUCUUUGGCAGUACAAAUGAAUUUAUCUAUGCAGUUGAUGGAUGUAGUGACAACAUACUUAUAUGGGUCACUCAAAUCGGACAUAUAUAUGAAAGUCCCUGAAUGACUUAAAAUGUCGAAUCCAAAAGAAAAUCGCAACGCAUAUUGUGUAAAAUUACAAAAGUCACUAUAUGGCUUAAAACAAUCGGGUAGAAUGUGGUAUAACCGACUGAGUGAGUUCCUUAUUCAAAAAGGCUACUCAAAUAAUGAUGAUUGCCCUUGUGUAUUGAUAAAGAAAUCCUCAAAUGGAUUUUGCAUCAUCUCAGUGUACGUUGAUGACCUCAAUAUCAUGGGAAGUACACCUGAUAUCGAAGAAGCACACAAUCAUCUAAUGGCGAAUUUGAGAUGAAAGAUUUGGGAAAGACCAAAUUCUGCUUAGGCUUACAGCUUGAGCAUCUUCCCUCGGGAAUUUUAGUAUACCAACCUGCAUAUAUUCAAAAGGUUUUGGAAAAUUUUAAUAUGGAUAAAUCAUAUCCAACCAAAACACCCAUGGUUGUCAGAUCCCUUGAUAUGAAUAAAGAUCCUUUUAGACCUCGGGAUGAUGACGAAGAGAUAUUAGGACCUGAGUUCCCGUAUCUCAGUGCCAUUGGUGCGCUAAUAUACCUUGCAAAUUGCACCAGGCCUGAUAUUGCAUUUACAGUAAAUUUACUAGCUAGACAUAGCGCUGCUUCAUCAAAACGUCAUUGGACGGGAGUAAAGAAUAUCCUUAGAUAUUUACAUGGCACAAAGGAUCUUGGCUUAUUCUAUCAGAAAAACCAAGAUAUGACUAUGGUAGGAUAUACUGAUGCUGGCUAUCUAUCUGAUCCUCACAAUGUCAGGUCACAAACAGGUUUCGUAUUCUUAUAUGGUGGAACUGCUUUUUCAUGGAAGUCAACAAAACAGACUCUCCUAGCAACCUCCACUAAUCAUUCUGAAAUUGUUGCAUUAUUUGAAGCAUCUAAAGAAUGUGUAUGGCUUCGCAGGAUGAUUAACCAUAUUCAAACUUCAUGUGGUGUUGGUUCAUUAGGAUCACCAACUAUUAUAUAUGAAGAUAAUGCAGCCUACAUUGCUCAAAUGCAAAUGGGUUAUGUAAAAAGUAAUAUCACAAAACAUAUUUCUCCUAAGUUAUUCUAUCCUCAUGCAUUACAGAAGGAUGGAGAAAUUGAUAUUUUACAAACUAAAUCAUGUGACAAUCUAGCAGAUUUGUUCACAAAGUCUUUACCAAAUUCAACGUUCCAGAAAUACAUUCAUGGAAUUGGUAUGAGAUGAUUCCGAGAUUUGCAAAGUUCAGGGGGAGAAAUCUCCUGAAAAUAUAACCCUUUAAUUAUCAUCAGGUAAUGAAUAUUGUACUCUUUUCCUUUAUGAGUUUUUCCAACAGGUUUCUCAUAUAAGGUUUUUAACGAGACAAUUAAAUACAAGUAUUGAUGCAUGCCAUAUCAUAUUUCUCCUUAUAUUUUUCCUACUAGGUUUUAAAGGAGUUUUUUAUGGCACAUCUCAUUGCACUCUUUUCAUUAUGAGUUUUUUUGACAUUUUCUCUCAUAAUGUUUUUAAUGAAGCAAUAUCUUAUCAAUGAUCAUAUAUCAUACUUUCUAUUUUCCCUAUCGGGGUUUUAAAGGAAGUACUCAAGACAUAUAUUGUUCUCUAAACUCAAAAAUGAGUUUUAUCCCUAUAUAAAGGUUUUCUCAAAUGAGUUAUCAUGAGGCAAUAAUCAUUAUAUGUUGCACAAUUUUUUCCUUAUUAUUUUUCCACUGGGUUUAAAGGAGUUUUAGCAACAUAUCUACACUAUUGUCCUUAUAUUUUUUCCACAGGGUUUUUGGAGGAGACUUUAAAGAUUAUACAACGACUUUUCAAGAUGAAGAUGAGGAACAUUCUUAAAGAGAAAAAUUUACAAGGAUUAUUAUUUAUCAAGAUGAUGCACAUUUACACAGACAAGCAUGGAUUAGGGAGAGUGUUAGGAAUUAAUUAAAUGUAUUAAUUAAUGGGAUAAUCCCUGCGUUGCCGGUUGCCUUGUUUUAGCAACCGUUCCUUGUAAACCGCCUCUGUAACAAGGGUAUAAAUACCCACAUCUUCAAUCAAUGAAAACACUGUUCCAUCAUUCUGUCACUUUUACUACUUUACACUCUACUCCGUUCGUUGCCUCUCUCGCGGGAUGGGAAAGGGUGUGGUGGGCCACCAGGGCUCAGGCAAAAAAAAUUAUAUGCAUAUUAAAAAAAAAUCCUGGGGGUCUGGGUGUGCUGUGGCACACCCGCUGGGUCCGCCGAUGUCCGAAAGGGUAGAUUUCCUUCUUUUUUUACUGAUGAGAUAAGAGGAAAGCGGGGGAUGGACCCAUCGUCUACAUGCACACGCGUUCGUGCACCGGACCGCACCAUCAGAAAUCGUUAUGUACCAACAGAACAUAUGUGCAGUGUAUCGUGAUCACGUAUAAUACUGUCCCAUCAUCUAUAUCUUUUGCAGCUUAUACGAUGGCACUAAAUAUAUAUGCAUUGACGCGUCGUUGUUUUGUUUGUCUACAUACCGAGAGCAAGCGAGCUCGUGUGCUCUAUCCUCGCUCUCGAUAGUGGCUAGGCCAUUCAACCUCCAUGGCUAGCAGUCUAGACUUCACACUGCGGCAGCAAGCUAAAAGCAACUCCAACAAUUUCUCUGAAAUCCUUUCCGUAAAAGUGCUUUUACACGAUGUUUAUACAUUUUAGGGAAAGUUUUCUCAAAGUUAAUUUUGCCACAUCCCAUAAAGCUUGCCUAGUUUCUUGUGGUUUCAGCCGUGCAUGUAUAUUUAACUGUUGGUUUCUUGUGGUUUCAGCCGUGCAUGUAUAUUUAGCUGUUUUUUUUAAACGACUUUGCCUCAUCUUAUUAAUAAAGAAGAAGAGAGUUGCCCGAUUGAUUAAUGAAAAACUGGGCGAAAAUCAUUACAACACGUUCACACAGGACACACACGGCGACCUGACAACCCACAUAAAAACGCACACACGUAGCCGAGGAGAGAACACCGUUGAGGCUGCAAUCCGGUUUCAUCGCCAUCACACCUGCAAGGACGACUCCGACUCCAUCAUCGACGACCAUCAAUAUAAAAUAUAGCCCUCACCGUAAGCAAACGCCGAGGCCCACGCCGACCCCUUCCAAACAGUCAACCGCACACACCAACUACCAGACAGCUCCGACUCUGUCGACGAGAAUUGUAGGAGAAAAGCACUUAGCCUUAGCCGAGCCAGGGCUAGAACCGACCACCCGCCUUGCGUCAUUGUCGCCGCAUGACGCGAGACCCCUCCUCAACAGCUCCGACUCCAGGAAGACAAACUGAGGUGCAGCAACCCCCCCCCNGAGACCGACUACCAAAACUCAACAACAAACCAAUUCCGCCAGAAGCCACCAUUGUCACCGCACAAGAAGUUGCGCCAACCACAUCACCAGUCGGGCACCUGCCGACCACGAUGUCAUGUGUGUCCAGCUCCGUGAAAGCACGAAGGAAGCCAAUGACCCUCAAGGCAAUGCCCCCAAAGGGAUAGAGCGACGUGGGAGAACGACGCCAUCACCCGACUCACAUCCGAGUCUUUGGCUUUCGCCCGAUGGCAAUGGUCCGAAGGUGUUAGGCAAGGAAAGGGUCCACAAUGACCCUCAGGCAAAUUGUUACAUUUGUUGCAAAAUAAACAUAUGCACAAAAAUGCUCAUAUUUGCAAGAUAUGCCAGUAGAACAAAGCAUCGUGCAAGAUAUAACAGGAACGGAUGCAUUGAACAUCAAAAUCUUGGCCCAGACAUUCUUUUGUGUAACAUAAGCGCCACACACAGCGGUUCUAUGCAUAUCAAACUGAAACAUUUACCAUAUAGUAAAAUGUGACGAAAACAUUCUCUGCAUCAUCAUAUGAACAAUAGGAGAGAGCGAAAAGUUCCCAUGUCAGCCUUUUUGCCAACACUGAUGAAACAAGCACUGUGUUCAAGUAAACGACAAACAGACCUCAGCUCAGUCAGUUUGUAGAUGCAGACAUGGGCCUGCUGGUGCCUAAGCUCAGUGCCUAAUCAACCCCUAAGCAGCAGCAGCUCAUCAUAUAGCUGGAUCUUCUAAGUCAGCGGUGGACAAGUUAUUGAUUCGUGGAUACGCUGCCUUUUCGCUCAACUGGUUUUGAGUCCAAAUCAACAUCUUCAACAGGCUGGGGAGUUUCGGAUCUGCCAACAUGAACACAAAGAUCAAGGAUCUUCAAUAAAACAAAAAAAUCUGGCACAAGCAUGCUAGCAGUUUGAAAAAGCCCAAAGACAGCAACGAAACUUUCAUUCUGCUUAAAAUGUAUGAAUCGAUGGUACAAAAUCAAAACAAAGGCUUGCACAUCAUGCACUACUGAGGUGAAAAAGUUUGAAUUUCCGUGUUGCGAAUGUGAAUUUUAUUUUAAAAACUUGAAAAUAUUCAUCAUGAUUUCUUUCACCACAUCUCAAAAGAUUUUCAACAAGUAUCCCUACGCAGUUAUUUGACCUAUGUUUAUCAGUGUUUUCAAUAUUGAUUGCUGGUCACGCAUUAUCAGCUCAUGGGUUACCUGUUUUGAGCAUGACCGUACCUGCUUAUAUUAAUAUUAAGUCAGGUAACCUUUUGGUACAUCUAGUUUAAAUACACCAUGUUUUUGUUCAUAUUUCAGGAUAAAUAUAUACACUUGUCAGUCUGAUUUCCUUCUACCAAAGGGUUGCUUAUUCUAAAAUAAGGAAAUUGCUAUCAUUUCAUAUGGCACAGGCAUACAGGUACGCUUCAGUGACGAUAUACCAUAAAAAAGGUAAGCAAAUAAAAAGGGUAUCACAACAUAUACAUGCCUUAGUACGUACCUUUCUCAUGGCUUUGGCUUGUAAGAAUGGCAGCGUUAACUUCACUUGCUGUCUUCAAACGUUGAGAAACAUCCAGUAGUUCCCCGUAUGGGCAGUUUUUUACAUCUUCAAAAACCAAAAGCGCUACAGUUUUCUCUAUUUCCUCGAGAAAGGCUUCCUGCAAAAUUUCACAGACCAAAAGUAAGGUCACAGAAUGGUCUUAAAUGCAGUGGUAUUAACGGAAAAAAGUCAGCUAACAGGAGGAAUUGCAUUUUGAUUGAUGCAAUUUUGAACCCUGACUCUUAACUAAGGUAAGGGAGAUAAUUUGUUUCACUAAAAAUUACAUUUUCUUCGCCUCUUGGUGCGAGUUCUUCUUGAGCAAACUCCAAAGCUUCAGGUAUUUUCCCCACACGAAUCAACUCUAUCAGCUUUUGUUGCUGCAGAUGGAAGUAUAAUUCGGGAUUCGUAUCCAGAAUCUGCAUGUCAUAAGUUGAGUCAGGAUAGCAAGUCAAAAUUUAAUGAACCCCACUAUGAAAAACGCACAAUUGGAAUCUCGGUUAUAUAGAACUAACACAAAACUUCACUCAGCAGUAUACGAUAGAUCUAAAUAUACCACCGGCUGAAAAACGAGAAAAUGUAGUUUUCGCAAUCAAACGUAGAUGCAAUUUCUGAUACGCAUAUACCUAAGUUUCACAUAGAAAAAGAACAACUUCUAACCAAAAAACAAGCAUGGUCCAAAGACAAACCACAUCUAUCACCAGUACUGGAUUAACAAUUUGGUCUACUGUGACAUGUGAAAUUAAUUAUUGUUACACCAUUGCUCACCAGCAACACAUAAUGCAGAACCCAGAAUGUCCUUAGCACAUAGAUACAGCGAAGUGCCCAGAUACUGCAAGAUCAUCGCCCCCUUCUCCAUUCUUACUAAAAUUCUAAGCAACAAAUGCAGUCUUUCUUUUUCCUUCUGAAAGAAAGGGGUUUCCCCCCAGCCCCCACUUUAAUUAUGCAAUGGCCAAAACCGGACACAAAAGCAGUUUUCUUAAUCAAACAAAGAUGUAAUUUCUGAACCGCACAUUCAUAAGUUCUACUCAGAAAAAUAACAACUUGUAGCAAAAAGCAAGUAGGGUCCAAAGGCAAACCAAGUCGAUCAUCGGUACUAACACUUUGGUUAUUUCUCAGAUCUGAAAUUGGUUGUUACAUCAUCAGUUCAUCACCCACCAGUUAUCAGUAAACAUAAUGUGGAACCCCUAUGGUCGUUAUCACAUAUAUACAGGCAUACAGCAAAAUUAACCAAAACUGUCUCCUCCAAUCUUGUACUUUCCAGAAUCCAGAUAGCCCAACACCGAAAUAGGAACUGAAUUUGGGAGAAUGAGGGGCAGAAUGGAACCGUGGGGUUGAGAUCGUUGAUCCUCUCGACGGCCUCCUGGAUGUUCCCCGACUGAACCGCCUUCUUCACCUCCAUCCGGUCGGUGAUGGUCGCCAGGUCGAUCUCCGCUGCAACACGAAACCGCGCAUCGAUCAGACCUUGCACAGGGUGCCGUCACUAGGACAGCGAGCGAGAGGGGCUCGAGCUCGAUGCGUGUAGGCAAAGGCGUGGCGUACGGUACGUUGGGUGCCGGACUCGAGGCGGAAGCGGUGGGCGGCGUCGACGAGGCCCUCGGUGACGAGGAAGUUCAUCACGAGGCGGUUCAUGUCCUCCUUGCGGAUCUUGGCGUCCCGCAGCUUCCCCUCCCACUCGUCGCGCGUCACCACCUUCUUCGAGGUCGCCAUGGAGGGCGCGGGGCAGGAGCUGACUGCGCCGCGACGACGGGGAGAGGGAAACGGCGAGGGCAACAACGCGCGCGUGAGGCGGAGGUGUUUGGGGGCGUGGGGUGUGGGCGGGAGGGGGCGUCGGCGGUGAGGUACGGCGCGGCGGCGGGGCAAGGGCAGGCGGCGGUGGAGCGUGGAACCGUCCUGGGCUGGGUUAGGUUGGUAGGGUAAAACGAUGGUGGUUAUUAGGUUGGUAAUUUUCCUAUUCUUUCACAGGACGGGCCGGGCCUACCACCUGUACUUAACCGAUUUUCUUUUCUUUUUUCUGCUUUCCGUUUUCUGGUUUCUUUUUCUGUUUUUUCUCAAAUAACCAAAAAAAUAAAAACUAUGUUUAUUUAUUUUACUUAAAUUAUUGUUUUGGUAUUUGUGUUAAUAGUUUAUUAUUGCUUUGCUCAUCAGAUAAAAAAUCAAAAACAAAUGUCAGGUAUUAUUUCAAAAAACAUAUAAUGUGUAUGCAAAAAAUAAUGAUUUUUUACAAAAUAUAACAUGUGUAAGUAAGUAUUAAUAUAUUUCCAGAAAAUGUUCAUUGUAUAUUCUACAAAUCCGUAGCACGUAUUUUCAACAAUAUGAAGCCCAUAGUAAAAGGUUAUCUUAUAUUGAAAUUUUAAAAAAGCGCACCCUGUGUAAAAAAAAUUAAUCAUGUAUUUUUUAAUGUUCAUCGUGUAUUUAAGAAAUGAUCUUAAUUUGUUCUUCAGAGGUUGAUGUGUAUAUAAAAAAUGUCAUCACAAAUUUCAAAAUAUUCAUAUUUUUAUACAAAAAAGAGUCUCCAUGUAUUUUCACUAAAUUUAAGAACUUUGCUUUCAAAUUAUUAGAAAUCUUUUGAAACAGGCUCCUGGUGUGUCCCAGUACACAUUCGUCGUAGCCAAUAUAAGCUUCUACCUCGCUACAACCUGCAACGUAUUUGAGAGCAACUAAUGGACAAGCACCCCUUCGAAAGCCUCCGAAGGAUCAUGCAGAGAGCGCGUCGCUUGGCGCACUCUCAGCGUCCGCCACAUGUCAUGCUCUGGAGGCUACCUCUGUAUAUUUUUCUUUUAUUUUAUUUUGCAUNGUGACAGGCACAGAUUUCCUUUCGUGAAAGGCAUGAAUUUGCUUCCGUGAAAGGCAUGAUCAUCCCUUUCGAAAACAAAAAAAUGUAUAUUUUUCUCUUUCAUGAGAGGCAUUGUUGUGCCUCCUUUUUGUCUCUGUUUUUCUUUGUAUUUUCAUGAAUUUUGUUUUGUCAAAAACUAUUUAAAAUUGAUCCAUUUUGAUAAAAUCUCAACACGUGAAUUCCGACAAUGAAAAUGGUUCAUGAUUUAGAAGCAUGGUUCAAAAAAUAAAAACAUUUUUAAAAAGUGAAUCUAAAAGAAUCAUAUUGAGACAAAUGGCGCAUAUACAAUACACUACUUGCGAAGGCGACAAAAGAUAAUAAUGACCUUUGCAAGCGGUAUCCUUUAGUUUUUACUAUGGAAAAUCGAUGCGUUAAGACAACGACGGAUCCAACAACGACCAACCGAGCAUCAGAUAGCUCAGCCCACAUGGCCCUAAUAUGCAAUGACUAUAGCUCACUGGGAGAUGAGAUGUCCAUAGCUCCUAUUUGGCGCGUAAGCUGUUGUAUAGUGACCUUGCGCAUAUACACCCCACCCCCUGUGCGGUGAUGCGCAGCUGACCAGUGUAUGGAUCGGCCCGCUCUGGUUUUGUCCAUGCAAAAGGGUCUAGAACAUACAUGGAAUUUGUUUUUUCUCUCUUUUUCUAGUUUUAUUUCUUUCAUCUUUUAUGUUUUCCUUAUGAUUUAUGUUUCUAUUUUUUGUUGUUGUUGUGUUUGUUUUUAUUUCUUUUUAUUUUUCUUUCUUUUUUAUCUCGCGAACAUAUUUCAAAUUCCUUAUCAUUGCUUGAAAUAGUGAAUCAUUUUAAAACCAUAAACAUUUUUCGAAUUGGAGACCAUUUUAUAGAAACCAUGAACAUUUGUUUGAAAUAGUGAACAUUUUUUACAAACUCAUAGACAUCUUCUCAAGUCAUGUUCAUCGUGUAUUAAAAUAAGUGUUUUGUAUAUAAGAAUUUAUAUGAUUUGUUGAAAAUGUUGCCUGGGUAUUUGAAAAAAUAUUAUUAUGUAUUCAAAAUAUUGAACAUGUAUUUAAAAAUGUUUAUCUUGUACUGUAAAUGUUCAUCAUGUAUUAAACAAUGUCCAUCAUAUAUAUAUAAAUUACUUACCAUGUUUUUUGAAAUAGUUGACAUAUUAAAAAAACAGUCAUGCAACGGCUAGUUCCGCAUCACAAUAUGCCCGGCGUCCUAACAUCAAUAGUGAUUAUCUUUGGUGGGCGCACAUGCAUGAUUUUAGAAAGAUACGUUGUCUAGAUAAUGUUUGAAACACACCAGGGGUUGAAAUCAUGGCCUGUGUUGGUAGGGCUCAACAGAUGCGGACUUGCGUCGUUAAUUUAUUGAAGACGUUGUCUCAGUGAUGGCGCUGGCGGUGGCGGUGGCGAGGUGUAUCAUUUUACGAAGACGUUGUCGCGGAAGAAGUUGACCUAGUCCUAGGUGGUACAUCCAUAUAUUGUACUCCCUCCGUCUCAUAAUGUAAGAGUGUUUUUCGAUACAUGUAAAAAAAACGUUCUACCAUUAUGGGACGGAGAAAGUAAUGCUUAUGCGGUCUUUGAUUUUUUUGAUUUUUUGUAUGUACUUCAUUUUUUUGAUCACUUUGACCUUGCUCCUUUGUGUUAACUUAAAUAAAAGAUGGUUGCCUGUAUCAGUUGUAGAUGUAAGGGGGUUCCAACUCCACCUUCAUGAGAAAAUACAUCUCACUUUCUGUUUGUUUUUUUUUUUGUUUUUUUUUUUUACUAUCUAGUCUAGGAUAAAAGAACCUCUCACUAAGACUGGAACUAUUUUGGCAUCCCCAAUGGCACAAGUACGGGGGGAAUUAUGAUCGACGACGCACAAAGGAAGGUCAAAGGCUCAGCGAGUUAGUUAAUCCAGCAGCAGCAAUGAGCAUGUGCUUCUUCGCUUCUCUUGCUUUGCUGCUGUUGGAAUAACAAAACAUGAGUCUUAAAGUAGAGCUACAAAAUGGGAGCCCAGAUGCUGCUGCGCCUGCACAUGGACGAAUCGGCGGCACCGACAGAACGGAGUACUCCAUCCUACGUAGGGUAUGCUCGAUCGUGCUGGCCAUGUACUCGAUGAACAUAAUGUAUGUAGUACGUGUACGUACGUAUAAGGAUUCCACGCAAAUGGUACUGAGUAUUAAGAAGCGACUAGAUUAGUUAAGGUAGCUUAAUCAGCAUUGUACUUGAUUAGUUAAGGAUGGGCCCUUCCCCACGUACGUACGCAGCAGCUUCUAAUCAAGUGCGAUUAAGCCAAGUGAUCCACGGCCGAGAGGGUUUUGUCUGAUGCGAGAGCUGGCGACCGUGCCCUGUCAGUUUUGUCUGAUGCGGGUCUUUUCCUAUAUAAUCGAAUCGCAGAUUGACACUUUUCUGCCGAAAGAAAUGCAGGAGCUGGGCAGUAACCGGGCCUACAAGCAGUUUGCAAAUCUCUACUAAUAAAGGGGGCAGUUGGUAGCUGGAUCUCACCGGUUUAAUUUCGUCACUGGUUAAUUUUCGUCCACCUCUACCUGGUUAUUUUUCGUCCACCUCUACCUGGUUAUUUUUCAUCUCUCUUUCCACCAACUGUUGUUUUUUUUUUUUGUCUCUCCUUCCACCAAAGGAUGGUUUUUUUUCGUCUCUACUUUCUCAUCGGUUAAUUUUCGUCUCCUGAUUUUUGACCAGCCACCGGUUUAUGUUUCUAUCUCCUCCCGCAAAACAAAACUCUUUGCACAAAACAAACGCCAGUCCUCAUCCCGCACAGGGUUAGGGUUCCUGUGCCGCCGCCGCCGCGCUCCUCGACCUCCUACUGCCUUGCCCCUCUCUUCCCUCGACCUCCAGGAACCGCCACGCUCGACGAUCUCUUGCAGGCGGCCCUGCACCGGCUCCCGCCCGCGAACGUCGCGUGGGCGUCCUGCUUCUGCCGCCUCUGCCGCGCCGGCGUUUCCGACCGCGCCGUGCUGGAGGCCGCCUUCCAGGCGUGCUGGGGCGUGCGUCGCGACAACAAAGUGAACCAACGUCGUCCUCAACCGCCUCCUUCGUGAAUCGCCGACGUCGUCAAUCGCCUCCGUCCAUAACUAUCGCUGCCGGUUUGAACCAGCCGUCGCCGGUCAACCGCCGCCGUAAUUGCCUUCUGUUUUCUCUAACUAAUCUAGGUAUUUGUACAGACCUAUGUACGCCCUUUUGUCCGAAUACAUCUGAGCCGGAUCUACAUAUGGUGUCGGAUCUACAAAAUUUCAUACACAAAUAUAUGCCUCAAAUCUGCCUUACAGUACAUAUGGACGUUUUACGAGCGCGGGUGCAUCUGGAAAUUUCUUCGUCUCUUCAAACUUUACUCUGCAUACAACAAAUGACGACUUCCUUUAUCAAUAGCAGAUAUGUUUUCAAAAAAGUUUUCAUCGAAAAAACAACAAGGAGAAAGCUUUUUAGCAGGCAACACUGAUCUGGUUUAGUUUACCGCUCUUAAGCAUGCAUUCAUUGUAGGUAUGGGGAAUUCAAAAAGCAAGGCUAUUGGAGGUGACAACGUUUCAGAUGUCUCUACAGGUAUAUGCUACGCUAUGAAGUUAUAAGCUCUUCAAAAUGAAUUGUACCUACAAGUGUAUUCAUUUCAAUCAACUAUCCACAUUUUAUAUCGCCUAAUGAAUGGGUCUUUGUGGUCUCAUCCUAGCUAAUUUUGUAGUUAUUUAAUCCUUCCCUACAAGUUAAAUAUGUACCUUUUACCACUGUUCGGAACCUCAUGGAUCUUAUUCAGUUUAAAUAAUUUAUCCCUUACAACCACAUAUUUUUGAACUGCCAAAUAGUUUUACCUUGCAGCUUAUCAGUUCAUCUUCCGAAUAGGCAUCACUUUCCAAAGCAUCAUGUAAUUCAUUAAUCUUUCCACUGGCAUAUGAUUUACCAAUAUCAGAAACCUGCAAGCACGGGUACUUAAGUCAGCCCAUAUUUCAAAUUGUGAUGCAAUGGUGCUCCAGUCGCACAGAUAAAAACUUUCUGAAUACAAUAACCUGAUCUACGGCUUCCUUGCAAAGUAGCAUUUUAUUUUUUACUUGCAGUAUGCAAAUAUUUGCGCUAAGAGUAUUAUACACCAUGUUAACUGCGACCUAUGAAACAUAACAGUAAGGGAGAAAUAUUACAGAUUCAUAUAUCUGAAAAUUUUCAGAAAGUGGCCAGUAUUUUUGUCAGGUUGGGCUGUUCUUCAGCAUUGUCUUCCAAGCAAGAGUAUGCUAAUUGCAUACUCUGAUUUGCACCAGAAGUACGAGCCUCGUCUGCGAAGGAGGAAUCCAUCACAGACAUGAAGUCCCUUUGUCUAAUAUUGUCAACUGCCUAUUAGAACAAAGCCAAGUCAAUCCUUUCCAUAGAUAAUGUUCAAAGUAACAUACCAGUAGUCAUAUAUUACUUCUAAUGAGAAGACACUGGUGUAAUUCCACAGCAAAAUCAGUUUCUGUAAUUAUGUUGAUGGAAUAGCUAACGUCGGAAAUGUACAAGAUCUGAUUGAGCUACCCAUUCAUUGUAGGUAUGGUGAAUUCAAAUAGCAAGGCUACUGAAGAUGACAAAGUUUCAUAUGUAGCUACAGGUAUAUGGUACGCUAUGAAGUUUACCUACAGGUGUAUGCAUUUGAAUCAACUUUCAUAAAUUAUCCUUCUAAGAUCCUGAACUUGAUGCGCACAUCAAUACCAUAAACUAAACGGAGACAAAAAUGCAGGUAAGGAAAACAGUGGUAACUUAUUAAAUAGGUAACAUCAAUCUUUACUGAUGUCUUGGAAUGAUUAGUAUCGGCUGUGAUUAUCGAUUAACUUGACGAGGAAUGGGCCUAUGGCCUUAUGCGAACCACUCGAAAAAUAUUAUGAGAGGAAUCCCAGAAUGUAGAUGUGGUGGACAAUCUCCGUGCAGCCUGCUCAACAUAUAAUCUGGAGCCUUUGUGGUCUCAUCCGAGCUAAUUUUGUAGUUAUUUAUUCGUUGCCUACAACUAUCACAUAGUAUUCAUUAGAAAAUCAUGAAGAUUAAUAGUGAACAACAUGAAACUAUGAAUAACAAACAAAUAAUGGUAGGAUUUCUCUAACAACUUGCUACAUAUAUGUUAGUAUCUCUACUCCUAAAGUGGCAGUUGCAAGCUUCUUAUACUGUCAAAUGGAACAGGUGAUUUUAUAGAUCAAGGCAUGCAUGCUGAUGAUGACGAUGCUGAUCAAAUUAAUAUAGAUGUGGCAAAUGUUGAUGAAUACAACGCAAAUGGCAUAGCCGUAGAUGACAAUGAUGACAAUGAAUACUCUACUGGACCAGGUAUUUGUUUUGCUAUAAAGUUCAGAUGUUCAUUUAUACCGCCUACUUGUAUGGGCCUUUGUGGUCUCGUCCGAGCUAAUUUUGUAGUUAUUUUAAUCGUUGCGUACAAGUUAAAUAUGUAGCUUUUACCAAUGUUCUCAACCUCAUGUAUCUGAUUCAUUUUACAGUUCAUAGUCAUGCAAAAUGAUGGAUCUGAUAGGGCUGACCAUUCAUUGUAGGUGUGGGGAAUUCAAAAAGCAAGGCUACUGAAGAUGACAUAGUUUCAGAUGUAGCUGCAGGUAUAUGCUACGUUAUGAAGUUAAGCUCUUCGAAAAUAUUAUGCUACAUGUCUCAUCCGAAGCUAGAAAAUUUAAAGAUGCCAAAUAUAAUGAUUUACUAAAAAACAAUAUACAUCUAUAAUCGUUAGCAUAGUUCUUGCAUAAUAUGUUUUUGAGGAUGAUGGAGUAUCUCUUGCUGAAAUAGCCACCCCAACUAACAUGACAGGAGGAGUUGUCUUGGAUAAUAGCAAAGAAACAAGACAAAUACCUCCAAUUGGCCGCAAAAAGGCUCCUACUGACGAACAAAGGGAUCGUAUAAACGCAAAGAGGCGGGCUUCUUAUCUGAAGAAGAAAGAUAUGCUUAACCCAAACGAGAAGACAACUCACCAAUCGACGACAGGUAAGAUUGUGAUAUGUUUCGUCAUUCUUUUUAGUAUGAAAAUGUGCUGCCUUAUUCUGGAAUGCUAACUCUCAUGUCGCAGGCCUCUUUAAUGAUAUCAGGAAUGUUCAUCAACCUUGCCAUGUGAUAGGAGGUACACUUUUCGUAUGAAAAUUUAUGUUUCAUCUUUUCGAUAGCACUACAUGCGUUAUUUUUCGUAUGACACCACGAGCUGACAUGGAAAGUAUUAAACAAACAAGGCAGACACCGGCAAUUGGACGCAAUGAAAUGUUGAGUGACGAAAAAAAUAAGCUUAUACCCUCAAACAUGCAAGCUUGUUAUGAUGCAUCGUUGUCGUUAUCAUGUACCCUUAAUCAAGAUGAAAAUGUGGAUCCCCUUACGAUAUCAGGUAGCCUUCUCAUCUAUUUUAAGUUUCAACCUAAUGAUAAAGCAUUAUACAUGGGUACUGUCUUUUUAGUAAAAUGGAUUGUUUCCUUUGUUCAAAUAGCUAACCCAACUAAUAUGACACACCAACUAACAUCACAGGAGGAGCUGUCUUGAACAAUAGCAAAGAAACAAGGCAAAUACCUCCAAUUGUCCGCAAAAACACCUUGACUGAAGAACAAAGGGAACAUAUAAACGCAAAGAGGCGGGCUUCUUAUCGGAAGAAAAAAGAUAUGCUUAACCCAGACGAGAAGACAACUCACCAAACGACGACAAGUAAGAUUGUGAUAUGUUUUGGUCAUUCUUUUUAGUAUGAGAAUGUGUUGCCUUAUUCUGGAAUGCUGACUCUCAUGUCACAGGGCUCUUUAAUGAUAUCGCGAAUGUUCAUCAACCUUGCCAUGUGAUAGGAGGUACACUUUUCGAAAACAGUCUAUGGGUUCUCUUAUGUAGGUUGUUGAUGGACGAUAAAAAUUUAUGUUUCAUCAUUAUGAUAGUACCACAUGCGUUAAUUUUCGUAUUACACCAGGAGGUGACAUGGAAAAUAUUAAACAACCAAGGCACACACCGCCAAUUGGACGCACUGAAAUGUUGAGUGACAGAAAAAAUAAGCUUGUAACCUCAAACAUGCAAGCUUGUUAUGAUGCAUCUUUGUCAUUAUCAUGUACCCUUAAUCAAGAUGAAAAUGUGGAUCCCCUUACGAUAUCAGGUAGCCUUCUUAUCUAUUUUAAGUUUCAACCUAAUGAGUUAGCAUUGUACAUGGGUACUGUCUUUUUAGUAAGAUUGAUUGUUUCCUUUGUUCAAAUAGCUAACCCAACUAAUAUGACACAAGAAGUUGUCUUGAAUAACACCAAGGAAACAAGGCAGAUACCUCCAGUUGGGCUCAAAAAAAAAUUGACGGACGAACAAAGAGAGCAGAUAAACGCAAAGAGGUGGGCUUCUUAUCGAAAGAAAAGAGAUAUGCUUAUAGGAGAUGAAAAUCUUGCUCCACAUACAAUGACAAGUAAGCUUGUGAUAUGUUUGUGAAUAUCGUAAUGAUUUAUGAAAUGUGAUUAUUUUUGGCAUAUGUUUUCAUUGUAUUGUAUAACCAUCCAACCCAGCUAGAUGCGGUGUUACAUCAUCCUCACAUGACGAUGCAGCGUUGUCAUUAUCAACGACACUCAAUCAUUAUGAAAAUGUGUCUCCCCUUACUAUAUCAGGUAGCGUUGUUAACUAUUUUAUGUUUCAUCCUAAUGAUGUAGCAUUGCACUUGAAUAAUGUAUUUUCCAAGUAUGAUGACAUAUUCUUGUUGAAACAUGACAACAGGGGUUGUCUUGGAUGACACCGAAGAAAUUAGGCUAAUACGUCCAGGUGGAUGCAAUAAAAACUUGACUGUCGAAAAAAGGGAGCAGAUAAAUGCAAAAAGACGGGCUUCUUAUCAGAAGAAAAGAGAGAUGCUCAUCGAAGAUGAAAAACUUACUCUCCAUACGAUAUCAAGUAAGAUUGUACUAACAUCUUUUUACUUCCUAAGUCCCAAAUGUUUAACAACGCCCGCUCUAUAUCUUGUAAAUAAUGAAUUGAUGAACAUGUCAUCUCACUUGAUGAUGCAGCAUCGCGUUCUUCAGCUACACUAAGACUGAUGAAAAACUGACACCCCUUACGGUAUCAGGUAAUUUUAUACCAUGCUAUAUGUUUCCUGACAAUGAUUUACCGUAAUUUGACUAUAUUCAAGUUUCUUCAUUAUAUUUGAAAAUAAUUCGAGAUGAAUGAUGACAUAUUAUUUGUUGAACCAGACAACCCAAUUAGCUCCAGCUAUACAUCCUUCUCAAUUGACGAUGCAAUGUUUCGUGCUUCAAACACACUCGCAUGUGAUGACAUUCAUGAGGAAUAUCUAGCUCGCCAUAUACUACAUUCUUCCAUUACACCUGAAGUUGUGUUCAAUAGCACCAGUGAUUUUGAAUCAGCAAACCCUACUAAGUACAACAUUGCAUCAUUAUUGACUGAGGAUGAAAAUUUGCCUCCAUCAAGUUCACAAUAUGAUAGUGCUCGUCAUAAAACCCUAGCCAAGAGGACUUACGAUAAAGAGCGCAAUUCUAAAUUAACAAUCGAGCAGAAGGAUCAUGAUAACGCAAGGAGACGAGCUGGUAAACAGAAGAAACGGGAAGAGGGCACAAUCAAUGUUCAAGAGCAAAAUCAAAGGCAACGAGAGACACGCAUGGAGCGCCGGAAAAUUAUGACUUCCGAUGAGAAGGUGCGGUCAAGUGCAAAGAGAAAGGGAAAUUACCAUAGAAUAAAAACACCCCAUCCAUAGAAUCUAUCGCAAUGCCACGGCCAGAUGUUCUGGCUCUAUCUGAUUCCGCCCCAUCAAUUACCAUUCUGUCUUACACCGUCGGAACCGAUGGUAAAAAUUUGUUAUUGUCACAAUCUUUAGAACAAAAUUUUGCUUUACCCUCUUUUGCUUACUAUCUCUACGAUGUUGCAGAAGAUAUGGGGGCAUUCAUAAGCACCAUCGUGGACGAUGAUACGAUAUCAUCCUCCUUCAUUGAUGAUGAGUAUUAUCUGUUUCGCUCGCAAGGUAUCGUUUAUGGUGAAUUAGGAGAUAGUUUGACUUUUUUGAAAUAUCUGUUUAUGCUGCUCUGAGUGCGGUGUUUGAACAAAUGCAAAUAGGAUUCGAUGAUGAUAGCCAUGAUGGAGAUGAAGUCACGAACAUGUCUAGCGCUGAGUCUGUUGACAUUGAUCCGUUCGACUUUGUCUACUCAAACCUCCCAGAUAGAACACACAUCCUGAAGCACGCCAAGAACCGCGACCACUGCAAGGCCAAGAAGUUUGAGUCUCAGACCGACGGUUUCUGUUGUCGCAAUGGGCAGAUUGAGCUCAAGGAACCAGAUCCCAUCCCCGAGCUAAUGAGGCUUUGGUCCAGCAUGGAUGCAGACUCUAGACACUUUCGGGAAAACAUACGAUUCUUUAAUGGACACUUCGCAUUCACAACCCUUGGUGUCAACCUCGAUGAAAACUACACAAACAUGAAGUCUGGUGUGUACACUUUCAGGGCGCACGGCACCAUCUACCACAACGUGCAUUCCUUCGGGCCAUGCUCACGUCCAGAACAUCUCCAGCUGUACUUCUAUGAUGACGACCCAAACCUGACCCAUCGCAAGGUUGCCACCAAACAAUUGGACCAGAAUGUCGUCAAGGUGUUAGUGGACAUACUACGUGCAAACCGUACUCACAACAAUUUCGGAGUUUGGGUGCACACAAGGAUCACCUCGAUGAUUACAUGAUAGACCUCAACACCGACCAGAGGCUUGACCAACGGAGAUAUAAUAGGCCAAUGUCAUCAGAGGUAGCUGCAAUCUGGGUCGAGGGCGCCGACGUAGCGAAAAGGUUUGAUCGUAGCAUUACACUUUUCGGUAAUGAUAAUCACAGGCACAGUAUAGGUGUCAUUGAUGGCUCUUACGACCCGUUGUCCUAUCCCCUAUUCUACCCUUGUGGGGAGCUCGGUUGGCAUCCAAAACUGCCUAAACGUAAUGUCCCUUGGGAGGUUGUACAGCAACCAAGAAGGUGGCAUGAUAAUGAGGAGGAUGCAGGUAGCCUUUUUCUUUAUUAUGUUAUUAUGAAAAUAAUAUAAGACUCAUAUGUAUACUAACUAAAGGUGCUACAUUACCUGUUGCAGAGGGUAAUAGCAGGUUAUGCGUGUCCGUGAGAGACUACUACUGUUACAGACUGCAAACACGAACUGCUAUAUUGAAUCCCAUACUUUGUGGAGCACGAUUGCUCCAACAAUGGGUGGUCGACAUGUACAUCAAGAUAGAGAGUUGUAGGUUGAGAUGGUACAGAAAGAACCAAACAAAGAUCCGUGCCGACCUUUAUAAAGGAGUUGUUGAUGCUAUCACUCCUGGGGAGACACGAGCGAGCGCUGUCGGAGUAAGGAUAGUGCUCCCUGGAACGUACCCUGGUGGCGACCGUGACAUGAAACGGAGGCAUACGGAUGCCAUGUCAAUUGUCCAUACAUAUGGGAAGCCUGACAUCUUCUUGACCAUGACCUGCAACCCUAAAUGGGAAGAGAUAUCGAACGAGCUGCUUCCUGGUCAGACAGCUCAGGACCGACCUGACCUUGUGGCUCGCGUGUUUUAUGGCAAGCUAGAGGCUAUGAAAGAGUUGUUGUUCAAAAAGCAUAUCCUGGGUGUUGUUGUUGCGUAUGUAUACGUAGUCGAGUUCCAAAAAAGAGGCCUCCCCCACGCACACUUUCUGUUGAUCAUGGAUGCAUCAUAUAAGCUCGUCGUCCCGGAGCAAUACGACCGAGUCAUUUCCGCUGAGCUCUCGGACAAGCAUAAGUAUCCAGAACUCUAUGCCUUGGUGGUCAAACAUAUGAUGCAUGGUCCAUGCGGUGCUCUCAACCCCAAUAAUGUGUGCAUGCAACAAAACAAGUGCAAGUGCAGAUACCCUCGGGCAUUCAAUGAAAACACGGCACAGGGCAAGGACCAUACCCAGUUUAUCGACGUAGAGACGACGGGCAUAGGGCUAAGGUCCGGGGUAAAGUGUUGGACAACAGGUGGGUAGCGCCUUAUAACCCUUACCUUUUGCGGAUGUUCAAUUGCCACAUCAACGUCGAGGUCUGCUCGAGCAUAAAGGCCGUCAAAUACCUCUACAAGUACAUAUACAAGGGCCACGAUAGGGCUUCUUUCAGCAUCGACCAGCCGGACGCCGAUGGAAUCAUUGAUGAGAUCAAAAGAUAUGUCGACGCGAGGUGGGUUACUCCUCCGGAGGCCAUGUGGAGAAUAUUUGGCUUCUCCUUAUGGGGGAACUCCCCGUCUGUCCUACAGUUGCCUCUUCAUCUUCCGAAUAUGCACAUGGUGGCAUUCAAUGAGCAAGCUGACUUGACCAAUGUCCUCGCCUCUGAGAAUGCUUCAAAAUCCAUGUUGACGGAGUAUUUCAAGGCUAACCAAGACCACCCGUGGGCUAGGCAUAUAUUAUACAAGGAUUUUCCUGGGAGCUUCACAUGGCAGAGAACAAAGUAUUGGAAGCCACGGGUGGAACGUUAUCAAAUAGGGCGGAUCGUGUCUGCCAAUCCAGCCGAGGGGGAGCGAUACCAUCUGCGUGUAAUACUAAACCAUGUCGCGGGCAAGACAUCCUUCGAAGACAUGCUCACCUGGAUGGCAUUCUAUGUGGUAGCUUUCGUGAGGCUGCAGAGAGGUUGGGACUCAUUGAGGCAGACAACACGCUUGACGAUUGUCUUACUGAGGCGGAGCAGUGGGCGAUGCCUUGUUCGCUCAGGAGGCUUUUCGCAACAAUCUUGGUGCAUUGCGAGCCGGGCGAUGUGCGCGGUUUAUGGGAUAGGCACUUUGAGCCUAUGUGUGAUGACUAUCGUCGAGCACACAAGUGUACAAAUGAUGUGGAGCAGAUGGUGUUGUUGGAUAUUAGAGGUAUAUUGCAGUCCAUGGGGAAAGACAUUGUAGAUUUCGCUCUUCCGUGCAUUGACGAUGAGUUCGACCCGACCGGUGGCGAGGCAAGAGAGGUGAUUGAGGAGUCCACCGUCGAGUUUGACGUGAACGACACAAAAUUGGCUUCGUCACUAAACUUGGAGCAGAGGGUUGCAUACGACGAGAUACUAGCAGCAGUUGACCGCAGUGAUGGAGGUGUAUUCUUUGUUGAUGGCCCAGGAGGUACAGGGAAGACCUUUUUGUACAGGGCGCUACUCGCCAAGGUUCGGAGCAAGGGCAACAUCGCUAUCGCUAUCGCGACUUCUGGCGUCGCCGCUUCUAUCAUGCCUGGAGGAAGGACUGCCCACUCGAGGUUCAAGAUCCCAUUGAGUUGCGAUGAUGGUGCCUCAUGCAGCUUCGCCAAGCAGAGUGGGACCGCAAAGCUACUAAGGAUGGCUUCGUUGAUACUAUGGGAUGAGGCCACCAUGACUAAGCGACAGGCGGUCGAGGCACUUGACAAUAGCAUGCGCGACAUCAUGGGAAGACGGGACCGACCCUUCGGAGGAAAGACAGUUGUUUUCGGCGGCGACUUCAGGCAGGUGUUGCCGGUCGUCAGGAGGGGGUCCCGCAGUCAGAUAAUCGAUGCAACCCUUUGAAGUUCUCACCUCUGGAAGGGUAUGCGACAGCUAAGGCUCGUCACCAACAUGAGGGCUCAUAAUGACACAUGGUUUGCGGAUUACUUGCUUAGGGUAGGCAAUGGCACCGAGGAAGCUGACGAGCAUGGCAACAUACAGCUCCCUGAAGAUAUUUGUGUGCCAUCUACAGGCGAGAUGAACGACAUGGAGAAGUUGAUUGACCAUGUGUUUCCUGGUCUAGAUGAAAACAUGUCUGAUCCCAAUUACAUGACUUGUCGUGCAAUCCUCUCCACCACAAACGACAACGUUGACAAGAUAAACUUACGCAUGAUAGAUCGUUUUAAGGGUGAAGAAGUAAUAUACCAUAGUUUUGAUAGUGCACAGGACGACCCGUAUGGCUACUACGCUCCUGAGUUCCUGAACGGAUUGACCCCCAACGGGCUUCCUCCACAUGCACUCAAAUUGAAGCUGAACUUCCCUGUCAUACUUUUGAGGAACAUUGAUCCGGCUAAUGGACUAUGUAAUGGCACUAGGCUUGUUGUUCGAGGUUUCGAGAGGAACGCCAUUGAUGCAGAAAUCAUGAUUGGACAACAUGCUGGUAGGAGGGUAUUACUUCCUCGGAUACCCCUAUGCCCAUCUGACAACGACAUGUUUCCAUUCAAGUUCAAGAGGAAGCAAUUUCCUUUAAGGCUUAGCUUUGCUAUGACAAUUAACAAGGCGUAAGGACAGACCAUCCCGAUUGUCGGUGUGUACCUACCUAACCCGGUGUUCUCUCAUGGUCAACUUUAUGUCGCGCUGUCUCGAGCCACCGCGAAGAGAAACAUAAAGAUCCUCAUUGAGAAGGAGAAGGACAAGGGAAAGAAACAGACCAAUAAAUCAAAUAAGCGAAAAAGACCCACGCUAUGCUUACAAAGGACGAUGAAGAAUAUCGUCUACAAGGAAGUCCUUACAAGCUGAAGUUUAAUGUUUCUGUGCUUUUCUCUUAUUUCUCCUUUCCGUUUUAUUUUCAUAUAUUGUUAGUGCAUUUAGAUUUCAUGAAAAAAAUUAGUCAAUAAUUAUCUAAUGUGUAUGCUGCUGCACUAACUUUCAUGAUUAAAAAGUUAUCAAUUGUGAUUAAAUAGUUCUGAUUGAGCAUAUAAUUCAAAGAAUGGUCGAGUCAAAGCGGAAGAGUGCCAAUGCACUAGGUUAGGGAGAAGGUGUGACCUGUGUAGAAAAUUUACAUCGUUAUAGAAUCCAUGCACAUAUCUUCUCCCGAAAAUGACUUUUUUGUAAUGAACCCAAUGGAGGAGUAACCUGAUAGAGCCAACGGUAAUUGUUAUUUGCUUAUAGAUAAUUUAUCACAAGAAACUAAAAACUUAGGCUGCGCAUGUGUUUAACCCAAGCAUGCACAUCAAACUGACUUUGCACCAUGUUCAGCCAUCUCAUAGCGAAGUAUUAUUUCAGUACCUCAACACCUGCAGUUUUUACCAUAAAAAACCUCAUAGUACAAAAGCACGAGAAAAAAAACUUUUGAAGGAGAAUGUUCAUAGGAAGAGUCUAUUGUAGCAUGUGCAAACUGUACUUCCUAUUAUACCAUGGUGUUCACAGUAAUGUUUUUAAUGCAUUUCUUAUGUUAUGUAUAAUAUGUUACGAUUAGCGUUCUCAGCAAUUCAUUGAAGGAUGUAAACUAAGAAGUCAAAUGCAUAUAAGAUAUAACAGUAGUCACGUUAUGUGAAGGAAACUGACUGGGAGUGACCAACCUUACCUCAGGUAACUUCAAUGAUGUAUAACUUGUGAAUGUGUGAACCUCUUAUGCCUUGAAUCUUCCAUACAAGCAAUAUAAAAGAGGAUUGUGGUUGCCAAUCCAAUCAUCUGCAGCGGACAAAGUUUUGUGAAAGUAGGCUAGCAUUUUGUAUAUGGUUAAAAUACUUUGUCCCUUAAUAACAUGAAUAAACUGUGAUAUUUAAUUAUUCAUAGAAAUAUAUGUGAGCAUCUUAUUAAAUGAAUAAUACUCUUAAGGCAAGAAUAAUAAUUUAUGAUGCUGAUCGUACGUGGAGAAUACAGAGAUUGGCCAUGUAGUCUUCAUUGCCUAAUAGGUUAUCAAUUUUAUUUUCGGCGGCUUCGUGAAGAUGGGUCAGAUAUGUUACUUCAGCAAAUUAACCUUCCUAACUAAAAUACAGUACACCACUCAUUUCAGAUUUCCACCACAAUAUUGGCAAACAUCGCUUGCAGCUUUGUGAUCAUCGGUUACCGUAUUUUAGUUACAUGAACAUAGGUUAAUUCCAAAUGUUUUCAUCAGUGGAAUACAAUGCAAGAAUUCCAUUCCCAAAAUGUUGGACAAUUUUUUUUGCUAUAUAUCAACUAUGCAUAAUACACUAAUGAGUGCAACAGUCUGACAGAUGGACGAGACCGAUGAGAUACACUAUCAAGAACAAACUAUUUUAAUUCUCUAACGAAGUAUGAAUAGAGAAAUUAUAGCCAGACAACUUAUCGUAAGCAUGAUCUCCCACAUGGCAAAAUCAUUAACUCCUUCUGAUAAGACCAGCCAAAAAGCAUAGACAGAUGCCAAGAAAACGCCAAUCUACAUAAAUUCCUUGCAAAGCAACAGAAAAUACUGAUCAAUUACUGGUUAGUCUCAUCCAGAUAGAAGGACACAAAUGUGUGCACUGCUGAACCUAAUAUUGAAUUCAAAGAGGAUACAUGACGCAACAAAGCGACUUCAUUACCAUAUAUCAAUGUGUGCACCGCCGACAAAACAAUCACGAUUUAUUCAUGAAGCUUGAAUAAAUUUUCAAGUGUCUGCUAUAACUAUUUUUUAAAGGUGGAUAAUAAAUCUUUAAAUGUUUGAAUCUGGUACCAUAAAAAUUAAAUCUUCUACACUUGGAAAGAGAUAUCGCAUUCAUUAUAAAACACACAAUUAAUGAUAGACUACGUUGACUACUUAUCACAUGGUAUUGUGGAUGUGCCAGAUAUAUUUUAUCAUGAUAUCUAGAAAGGAUAUUAAUUAAAACAUGCAAUUAAUGAUACAAUCUGGUGCUUCCAUCUAUACAAAUCAUUCAUUGAUGUACAACUGGAAAGUCUUAUAGCAAUUUUGGUGCAUAAUCAUAUAUAGAAAACAUGAGAUGCAUCAAUAUUUUGAUACAAUCUGCAACUUCCAUAUAUACAGAAUUUCCCCGCAGUCCUUUAGGCUUCCAAAAAUGCCCAUCACCACUAUAUAUAUAAGUCUCCAUCAUUGUACAUAGGAUCAUCUCCUCUUUGACACCCUCUCCUCCACGAUUAUGGUAAUCUCAUACAGGUUGACGACCUCAAGGAGAGUGAUGGCGUCGCCAUCAUUUCCUGUCAUCCCUCGUCCCAUCACCCCCCAAUUAACAGGCAUGAAAAAAUUGAGCUGCUUGUACGUCAGUUUGCCAACACCGCUGAAUUUUGUUUGUCGUUCAUGAGGUUUAUUCUAUACACAGGAACUUGACAUUUCGUCACGUCGAGAUGGAGCAUAUAUACCAGAAUUGUUGGACCAUUCGUGCAAUGGUCCAAUGGAAGGCACAAAUCAAAGUGAAUUCCAUGGGAAACAUAUACCUUCAAUGCAUACUACUGGAUCAGGAAGUAAGGCAUUGCUCAUCACUAUUUCAUAGCAUAUAUUUUGUUGUACACAUUUGAUAAACGAUUUUAUUUGCUAAUUAUGUUGAUGAUUCGUAUAUUGCUUUAGGGGACAAAAAUGGAAGCCAUUGCGUUCAACAAUCAAGUUGUUCGUUUCAACACCAUUCUUCAAACCGGCAUGUCCUAUGAAUUCACUCGUGUAGGAUUUAACCCCACUGAAAUGGCAGUUGUACAUUUCUUGUAUCUAGACAUGGAGUUUAUCAUGACACUAGAUAGUAGGACUGUGGUUAUGAUUUCGGCGCACAGGAUAUCAACGGCAAUUUGUCCAUUGUGUUUCCCACAAUUUGGGGCCAUCUACUCACUACAAGACAAACGCAUAACUGGUGCAUUUUUUAUCUUUGUUCUUGCAUAUUUUGUUAUAGAACUCAGGGUCUCAUUCUGAUUAAAUCUUCGCAGAUGUUAUUGCUAUUGUUGCCUAUGUUAGUAAGAUACAAACUCUAUGGGAUCCAAUAUAUGAUAGACAUGUCCCUUUGCUCGAAAUUGGCCUCAUGAACUUUCGGUGAGAGUCGUUUAUAAUAUGAGAUUUACAUAUGCUUUUUUGAGUUAAUUGUUGCAAACAUAAACUAAAAUUUGUUUUUGUCUGUAGACGUCAGAUAAUUUUCCUACGCAUAUAUGACGAGCACGUUGGCCGUCAAUUUGACCAUUUGCGACGCAGCGUAAAUCAGUUCGAAAAAAUAUCAAUUACUUACAUACAAUUUAAUCGAAGGCGUCAAUGCUUGCAAACUAUGCGGGAGAGCACGUUCACCUAUUCUCCUAAUAUUGAUCAUGAGGGUCAUCAUCUACAAGGCAGGUGUUGCGUACUAUUUCAAAUUUUUGUCUUUAUAUUUUCUUGUACAAUACUAUGUCAUUAAUAUCACUGACACUUAUUUUUAUUUGUAGAUAUCCAUGAAGCCAGUCUCAUGACACUUGACGAAACACGUGCCUAUGUCAACAAUAUUGUCAUGGCUAGGAACAAUGGACUCUAGAAUUAUCUUCGUGUACUCAUUAUCACAUUUCUUCAUUGAUGUAAAAAGUCAAUCGAAAUUGUGAGUUAGGCAUCUCGUUGCCAAGUGUCUUCAUGUCUUAUCUUAUGUAAUAUAAUCUUAUGUAAUAAAAAUGUAUGAUAUUCAAUAAAAAAAUCUUUGUGUGGUAUGUGUUUUGUGCAUUCAAUAUUUUGGUUGGGAAAACCUGAGAUAAGAAAACUUGCCUAUAAAUGAUCGACCGAUAAAAUCGAUAAAUCGGACGAUAAGCCGAUUUAUCUCUUAAUCGUGUGUCGACCGAUAAGUUAACGAUAAUAGACAUCCUAAACAGGUGUAAUAAAUGUACGAUAUUCAAUAAAACAAAUCUGUGUGUAGUAGGUGUUUUGGGCAUGCAAUAUUUCGGAACCAACAUCUAUGUCAGGAAGGAUAUCAAUUACCGUAGACAGACUUAAUGCCUCUUGAUUUUAAGGUAAGGUCAAUCAAUAGUUUGUUUAUUAUUUGGAAGUCAAAUAAAUUUCUAUUCCAAGUUAUGUGUCAAUCAGGAUCACAACCCUUCAUAUAAUAUCCAUUCGGUCCUAUUUCAACGCCCAGCUCUGUCCUCACAAAUUUCUGAGCACACAACACUAUAUUUUCACCAAUGGAUGGUGUGCCGGCACCCCAAGAGGCUGUCCACGCACCAGUGGAUGUUCAGCUCCAAAUGCACGAGGCAUUGCCUGCCCCACUAGCGGAUGCAUACAACGUGCAUGUCGUAGAAGAUGCUGUCGACUACAUAUUUCAAUGGAUCAUAGACGCACAAGAAGAUGAGGCAUUAAAGUAAGUUAUCUUUUCUCCAUGUUUUGUUGUAGACCAUGCUGUAUUACUCUCCUACACAACAGGAUAAAUAUAUGUUCUGUUUUUGUGAGUUGAAUCAUUCGAUAGUUUGAAUUAACCACGAUAUUUUAGAUGUGUCCAGCUCACAGCUGUUACCCAUAAGUAUGUGCUUAGUUGUGUGCUAUAUUACUUUUGUAAGCGCGCUUUGUAACAACCAGAUCAAAGCAAUAAGCAAAAUAAGCCAAGCUGGACACACCCCUAUCGCCAAACAAAUAUUGAUGAAGAAAAUGUUUCAUACCAAAUAUACUUUUUUCAUAAAUAACAAAGUAUAUUUAUAUUGUAGGUAUGGGGAAUUCAAAAAGCAAAACUUAUAUAAUUCUGUUAUUUUCAUGUUAUUAUCAUUAAGCUAACUUUGGUAUAAAACAGUGUAAUGUUUGUUCAUCCACCAAAUUUUAAUGAAUGUUUAUUUUCUCCUAUUGGCUAACAUUGUUUGGAUUUAUUUGUGGUACCCUAAUGUAGAACAGUACAUUUUUUUAUCUGUGAUACAUGUGGCCAUGUUUUUUUAGACAACUAAUAGAUUGUUACAUUAAAAAAAGAGCUACCAGAUUAUGACACAUUAUUUAGCAGAUUUUCAAUGGAAGCAACUAUUUCACUUAUCUUUGCUUUCAAUCAAUCGUCUUUAUUUAUUCACGAUUAUCAUAUUUUUGGAUAAAGUUAUAUUUUCAAAAUAAGUUCGUUACAAUAUCCUAAUGGUGAUGCAGAUAUAUGUGGAUGUUUUUUUAUUAAAAGUUGUUCUGCUUAUUUUUGGUAGCACAAUAUGGAUAAGAAGCGCACGACCAUACCAUAUCGAGAUCAGCCUACGGGUCAUCCGGGAAACAAUUUGUCUUCAUGGACAAGUUCAUCCUGAUUGCUUCAAUAUCGUAGUUCGUAAACUCGCCAGCGCUGAAGUGGAGACCACUGCAGGCACAAGGAUGUUUGGAAAGAAACAUUUCUUUGACCUGCGGUUCCAUUCUCAGGCACGGGCUCUGAGACACUCUUGGACGGAACAAGGUCCCCGCACCACGGCUCUGAUUGACAAUGCUAUUGUCGAGCCGUUUCCUAAAUAUGAUGUGUUCAACUCUACAAUUGUAAGAGACUGUUGGUAAUUCCUAUCUUAAAAUUUAAUUUUAUUAUUAUAUUAACAGUUAACAUGUGUCUAUCUACUGCAUCUUCCACGGUAUCUACUACCAUUUACUUGUGUGGAUUCAAACUACGCACUACUUGUAGUCAAUAUGGAGUGUGGGAGGUUUGUCCAUUUUGAUCCAGCCAUCGACAUCUAUAGUCGUGGAAUUAGUUUUCAUAACAGUGAGUUGAUGAAGGAAAUCACAAUGUUGAAGGAAGAAUUCAACAAUGUGUUCCAUAUGAGGAUUCCUGAUUGGAAUACCCAACUCAUGGAAUGGCCUGCUGAUGGCAUAUCUUGUACUGCCAGACGGUAAUAUACUAAAGCAGAUCACUUACAGUAUGAGCACAUUUAUAUAGUUUUUAAUAUAUACAGUUUUUAACAGCAAAGACUCCGCUUUUCAAGUGCUACAAGAGAUGGCCCACCAGACUGGUACAACGGCGUCGAUGAGGUGUAAAACAGACGUAAGUACAUAAUAAAUAGGUUUAGUGUGCAAUUUAUUUUCUAGACAUUUAUUCCAUUAUGUUUUUUUGCAUCUUUUAUAGGAUUCAAUACAGCUCAGGAAGCAACUCAUGAUCCAGAUGCUGACGAUCAAACAUAGUGAAGCGGCUGGAAACAUCCCGGUUGAAAUUAGAGAAGCCUUGAGGGUCAUAACAGACUGACUAUGGACUGAUGGGUCUAAAAAUUACCGCAAAUAAAUCUGCAAUACAUCUUUUUUAGGUGUCUGCUUCACAAUUAUCUAUUUGGCAAUACGAAUAAUUAGUUGAUAUAUUUGGUUAUCUAUUCAUUUUGUUUUACUGAUAUAUUUAAAACUCUAAAUAUCAAGUCUUGGUCUAUGUAUGAUGUUUUAGUGGUAUUGGCAUCCACUAGCUUUGUAUUACCUACAAAUUUUUAUUGGGUUGGUGUCAUACCAAACCGGUUUGGUAGUACUCAUAAACCGUAUUCAUUUUGUAUUGGACCAUGCCAGGUUCACAUGAUUCUACAAGAGCAGCCAGUUGUCGGUGUACACGCACUAGUAUCGUGGCUCGCAUCCUAUACUGAUUCGUAUCGUAUAACUUCAUCCAUACACACACUGGUAUAUGAUACAAGGUUUACUUUGUCGAAUAUCAACCCAUACAAGCUACGGAAUAUUGAACUUAAAGAUAUGAUGGUUGUAAGUCAUGUACCUUGCAUUGCCUUUAAUCUUCAAGUAUCUUCACAUGUUUGCACAUGAUCCAAAAUCUAUAUCAGGAUCAUGAUAUUCCCAACUACGUGAUUGUUCACUUUUACGUUGACCUGAAUGGAAUAACCAAAUUAAAUGAAAAUGUGUUUUAUUCUUGACUACAUAAAGUAGAAGAUGAUACGAACAUUUAUCAACCAACAGGGAGGAGGAAGAAAUUUAUUAUUAAGCUACUAUAAAGGAGAUACAUAUUCUUUUAAUAAGCCAAUUGUGAUCAGGCAAUAUUUUGUGUUCUAUGUAUGAAGCAUGUUUUUCACUCAUCUAUUACCACUAUUACGAGACAAAACUUUGAGAAGUACCAUUAGAUUAUCCAACACCUUCUAUAACCUAAGAAUAUAAGGUAUUAUGUAUGAAGUUUAAUACUAAUGAUACAGAGAUAAAAUGGACAAGUGCGAGGCUACCGAAUAACAAGUUAAAAAUUGAUAUAUGCAUGGGAGUAUGGAUCGAGAAAUUUGAAACCUGAGAAAGAAGGUCUAUGAUUUAACAUGUAAAAAUAAAGAAUAAUAGAAAUCUCGAUAAAUACAACUUGUCAUGCUACUACUUAUCUUAUGAUUUAAGCAUAUGCAUCCAUUUAUAGAAUCAACCUGUACCAAAGUAAAAUCAUAUGCUUGAGAUAACUUGGCAGAGUAUAAACAGAGUAGAAUUCAUAUGCUUGAAAUUGAAUUAGAGCAGAACUAAGUUACUAAAUAACCUACCCGUUUGACUAUGACAUUGUUGGCAUCCUCUUUAGCCACUUCUUACUUUAGUAAUGUACUAAGAUCAUGGCAUAUUUUCAAAGAUAAUACUAUCUAUCCAAACCAAACAAGAAAACACUUCAUUACAACGGGGAAUAAUUAGGGACAAUUUCACUAUGUAAAAUGCAUUGAUAAAUUUAAAAAUAGUUAUCACAGAAAAUUAAACGCCGUGCGUUGCCAUGGGCUUUCAGAAAAUAAAUAAGAUGUUACUAACUGAGUUAACCAAGAACAAUGCUGACUAAGCUAACACACAUCUUUUUUAUAUAAUCAGCUAACACAUAUCAUACUAUGAAACACAAUAAUCUUAGAGCACCUAUAGCCGGUCCCCUCAAAUCCUGCUCAAACGUCCACGGAAACUAACCAGUGGAGAAAUAUGUAUAGAGAGACAUGGGUGAGAAAGGGGCAGGCACCAUUCACUAUGUGACAUAUUAGUGUAACAAGCAUCGGUAUUAUAUACCUUGAAAUGUACAAGUACAAGGCCACAUUGCAGACCACCCAAAUAGGUUACAAUCACUAUAUUGAGAUGAUAAAGCAAAAGAACAACCAGUGAGCUUACUUAAAGUACCGUUGAUUUACAAAUUACUAACCAAUGGAGUCAUCCAGACUCAAAUGUAUCCUGACAACACCAUGGAGCAUCAGGUUGGAGCGGUUUAUUUUCUGUGAUAAUAUAUCUUCCAUUCCUGUAGUAAUAAAGUAUGAACAAUGAUUAGAGAUUAAAUAAAAAAAGAUAGAAAGACACAGUUACGAUAAAUCUUGCAUUCACACUUCAUGUAGCAUACUUAGCAUACAUAAAUUAUUUUUCUACACGGCACAGAAUAUAGUAAGUAGUUAUCUACCAGCUUUGCUUCUAAUGAAUCCAUAGUGUGUAGGGUUUAUAGCUAAUGCAAGAGCAAACAAUUGAGAACCAUAUAGCUAGAUCAAGCAAUUAUAUAUUUGAACCAUGUAUAAAUUUGACAUGAGAAUUGCUUGACACCUGAAAAUGCCAACAAUUUUGAGCUUUAAUUUGAAAGGACCCAAAGCUGAUAGAUCACUCAGUAAAUAACUCUGAAAUAUAUCACCUGCAUACCGUAAGUAUGAAUGGAAUUUGUCAAAAUAAUUCUGAAAUAUUUCAGCUUUAUAUAUACCACUUUAGGAGUAUAGAUAUGUUAGUAUGUAUGGAAUUAAUGAGAAGUUCUUUAUUUAAUUAUGAUAAUUUGAUUCUAUAGUAAGUUCAGAUUGGUUGACAUCUUUCUAAUUUAUUAACAGGUGUGCAAUCAAUGGAAAAAGGAAACAAAUCUACACCAUACAAGAAUCAAAUUUAUUAACAGGUGUGAAAUCGUUGGAAAAAGGAAAAAGAUACGACAUACAAGAAUAUAUGGUAGAAUUUGAAUACGCCAGGAUGUGCUACCCAGUGGCCCUCCGCUUUGCCUACCUAUAUAGAUAACCUCCUCUGUCAUCCUUCUUCCCCCUCCUUGUUCUCCCUUCGCCCAUCACAUAUAGCAAAGGAUAUAUCAAAGGAUCAAAACAGACAAGGCUGGAUGGUAAAUUGAGGAGGAGUACAUUGCGUAAUCAAGGAGCAUCAAGAAGUCGAGUUCCUCUAGGUAUGAACUUUCCUAGAUCUUUCACUUUUCUAAAAGUUGAGUAUUUAUUAGAUUAUGAUCAUCUGGUUCAGGUUCACUAUCAAAUUGCAAAUGAAGAAUGGCAGUGGAGAUACUGCCAACUAAUCAAAACCUAACCAAGCUAACCUAUUAGGUGGGUUAUAGCUCACAACAUGUAUUCCCAAGGCAGGUCAAAAAAUAUGUAUUCCCAAGUAGCCUCAUUAGAAAUAAUAAUAUUACAAGGUGCCAACUAUCACAAAUAUAUACAUUAACUUGGAUCUCAGUGACUAAUGAGUAAGGCGGCGGUGGGAACAAUAAGCAGGGAAAGGAAGAAGGCAAUUGCAAUGGAGGGGGGAGGAAUACAAACCAUGAGGAGGAGAUAUUGAGCAGCAUGUCGAUGACCUUCGAAUGAACAUCUCCAUCAGAUCCUCCUUGGUGCCUGCGGCAACCAAUCCUCAAACAAUUCAUAACCAUCAGCACAAAUACUGACCAUAUCGAAUUCAGCCUCUGAACAAAUUUUAUGAGGCUGCAGAGACCAGGACAGCAAGAUAUACGUAUGGGCUGGCAGUGGUAGGUGACUUACUGAUGGCAGGCGGUCUGGAUGACGGCGAGGACAGCACGUAGGGGUUGGAGCCCGUGGUCGCCACGACCGGCGGCGUCGGUGGCCGCGCCAGGUCAUCCGAGGACAUGCGAGGGUACGCCAACGGCGGCGCGACUGCCGUGUGGGCUUCGGGCUUGCAGUCCAUGUGCGCUCGGCCUCCAGUGGGCAUAGUUGACGGCUGUAAGAGAGACGUGGUGGUCGGGGUAGUGACACGGGCACGCAAUAAAGCACGUGAGACACGCAUGGAUCUAGAAUCCAGGUCAUGGAAAUCGAUCAACCUCCACUGGUAGAGUAGAAGGAGGAGGAGGGAAAUGACGGCGACCUCUCCGUCGCCGCCGGCGCCACCGUGGUGGAGAGGAUUGGAGGGGAGGGGAGACGAGGGGCGUCUGCAUCUAGAAGCCAGGCCAUGUAAAUCGACCGGCCUCCAUCGGUAGAGUAGAAGGAGGAGCAGGGAAAUCACGAAUACCUCUCCGUCACCGCCGGCGCCACCGUGGGGGAGAAGAUUGGAGGGGAGGGGAGACGAGGGGCGUCUGCAUCUAGAAGCCAGGCCAUGUAAAUCGACCGGCCUCCACCGGUAUAGUAUAAGGAGGAGCAGGUAAAUCACGAAUACCUCUCCGUCGCUGCCGGCGCUUCCGUGGGGGAGAAGAUUGGAGGGGAAGGGAGACGAGGGGCGGUUGGAUCUAGAAGCCAGGCCAUGGAAAUCGACCGUGCUUCACCGACAAAGUAGAAGGAGUAGGAGGGAAAUCACGGAUACCUCUCUGUCGCUGCCGACGCCACCGUGGGGGAGAGGAUUGGAGGGGAAGGGAGACGAGGGGCGGUUGGAUCUAGAAGCCAGUCCAUGGAAAUCGUCCGGCUUCGACCGGCAGAGUAGAAGGAGGAAGAUGGAAAUCAUGGAGACCUCUCCGUCGCUGCCGGCGCCACCGUGGGGGAGAGUAUUGGAGGGGAGGGGAGGGGAGGGGGUCGGGUGUGUCCGCAUUUGGCCGACGGCGAAUGGGUGGAGGGGAAGGGAUGAGAGGGGACGGUGGUGGGAGACGAAGGGAGUGCAGUGGGUCGAGUGAGGCAAGGAGUGGAUAGAGUUCGACUGGAAACUGAGAGAGUGAGUUUGUUUAGCCAAAUGGAGAGAGUGAGGUUAAGGGAGAUCGGCCUGGUUGGGCCGUGCGGUAUAUUGGGUCAAGGUUGGGCCCUGCUGGAUAGUCAAUUUUCAACUUAGCUAUAUCAAAAAUGCUUAAAAUGUUUUAAAAAAUAAAAAUGCCUAAAAAAAAUCUAUGAAAAAAUAUAUAUAUUAAAAGUUGUUUAAAAAACAUGUAUAUUAUAGUUGGAUCAUACAAAUCAAUUUUUAUACUUAUUAGAUAUAUUCAUAGUAUCAACAAAAAACACAAUUUUGAAAGAAUAAGCCGAAUAUACUUGGUUUAUGUUGUAUCGCUUAGCCUAUAUAAAUAUAUUUAAAUGAUUUAAGAAAUUUCAGAAGACUGCUUAUUUAAAUAUGAACAUUAUAGUUGGUUGUUUGCUGAAAUAGAAAUGCAAUGUAUUUUUUAAUAAUAUGAAAAAGCAUUGUUUGUUUAUACAAAAUAAAACCGCUGUGUUAGUUUCAGUUUUAUUAUAUAAUAUGUUUAUAUGAUGCAAUAUAAAAUAUCAUUUAUAUUUCAUUGGAGAUAGAAAGUGAUGGGUUCUACUGAUGUAACGAUGAUGGACCAGACUGAAGCAUCACGAGAAGAGGUGCAUAUAGUUAAUCCUUUUUCGUAUGUAUGUUACUCAUGAUAAUACAAAAGAUUUAUUAGUUUAUAUUAAUAUUUUCAGAAUAUAGGAGACAUAGAUAUGGAUUUUGGAGAUGCACAAAAAGAAUCCAUCGACAUGGCUUCUGAUGCGGCAUAUCUAAAAGGGGCCGAGAAUCGAUCAAUUUCUUUACAAAACAAUGACGUGGAACUAAUGAUAUCUCAUAAAAAACCAAAAAGUAAUGCCAAUUUGAAUAUUACCACACAAGGUAUUUGUUCCUGUAAUUGACAACUAGGUACUCGCACGUGGCAACUAUAUAAACGCACAUAUGCACAUCCGACCCCAAUAAGCACCUUCGAGAGCUGAGCCAGCAUAUCAUUUUAAGAUGUACAAAAUCAUCAUAGACGCUACAUCAUCGAUGGAAACGUAUCCUCCCACUAAAUACGCAUCGACAAAAAUCCUAAAACAGAUUCAGAGAUAAUACAGUACGAACAAUAAAACUUAAACCUUGUUAGACCGGAGAUAACAAUGUCUUCUAACCAUCCAAUCAUAAGUUGGUUCGUUAUUCAUCGCUGGUUCUUACUUGAUGUGGUAUCAACGUUUUCCUAUAUAUUUAUUUUUCACCAGAUUCAGCGGCCAUAAAAUGCCCUGAAUCAGUAUACCAACAAAAUAAAAUAAAAUUUUGAAUUCCUUUACAUCGGAUGUACAAACGAUCUCUGUCGUCAUCCCUCGGGCAUAUAAUCCUGCACCCUAGCUACUGCCGCCGGAGAUGGUCGAGCGCGAGCGCAAGCGUCGGCGCGAACCUUUCGACGUCGACGCGCACGUUCUGCUUGCCGAGGUAGAACUCGGCGACCUUGUCCCACCCGCUCCGGUGGACGGAAUCCGGGUCCUUGAUCGCGGGGUGGUCCGGCCCGAGCGUCUCCAGCAGCGUGCUCUCCUCCGCCUUGAUGCUGUACUGGAGGUACCGGAGCCCCAUGUCGGACGCGGGGUCGCCGAACUCCCGCUGCGCCAUCGGCUCCAGCUUGCCGUACGGCACCACCUGGAUCACCACCGCGCCCGGCGGCAGGAACGCCGCGUUGGUCAGCCCGGCGCCGUGCACGCCCAGCAGCACGUCGAACGAGUUCACGGACAUGGCCAGCUCCUUGACGCGCACGUUGAACCGCGGGUCCGCUAUGACCACCUCGAACCCGGCCUUCUCCGCCGCCUUGACGAUCUCCGGCACGUUCACGAGCUUCCGGUAGUGGCCCCGGUCGAGCAGCAUCAACCGCGGCUUCUUCUUCUUCCUGUCCACCGGCGGGCUGCUCCCCUUGGUCAGGCGGAUGGGAGCGGCGCGCGGCAGGGAGUAUGUCUCGCGGAGGAAGGCGGUGAAGUUAGCCAUGGAGAGCGGCACGCCGCCGGGGACAAGCUCAGGCACGAUGUCGAACUCCCUGUGCAUGUUGAGGCCGACGGUGACGCGCCGGAAGCACCUGAUCUGAUCGUCAUGGUCCAGGUCCACGACGUCGUACUUGGUCAGCCGCCGCACGACGGCCUCGUACUUGCCGAGCCACCAGGGCUGGAUGUUGCUGGCCAGGAGCUGGACCUCGCCGUGGUACCGCCGCGACGCCACGAACAGCGGCACCAGCGCGUCGCUGAAGUCGUGGAAGUAGUUGCCCAGGUGACCGCCGAGCCCGAUCACGAUGGCCGGGACGCGGUGCGUCACCGUGCACGCCGGCGCCGGGGACGCCGCGGACGUCGAGUCGAGCUGCGUCACCGUGAUGUUGGGGAUGCCGGUCAUGUUGUAGCGGGCGUAGGGCUGGAUGCUCCACUCCCGGCGCUCUGUUAGGGACGUGGCCGGCACCAGGGUGACGGUGUGCGCCGUGCCGUUGGUCCGGACGUCGCCGGAGACGUCGCAGGUGUAGGAGAAGGGGCUCGCUCUGCACACCACCUUGCCGUUGUCUGCUCAACAAAAAAGGACACCAUGGUUAGUCAGCUUCAUUGAGGAUUGAGCAUUUUUACUGAUCAACUGAAAUCAAUUAGAUGCAGGAAGAGAAAUGCAGUGGUCAUCUAAUUGUUUCAAAGAAACAACGAGAGUUCAUCACUUAAGCUAGCUCAGCCAGGAAUAACCCGUUGCUACCCUACUUAAAAUAGACAACCCGUGAACUAUUCUUUUUUAUUUCAGGAAGGCCCUAAAGUGCAGUCAAAUGACCUCAAUGAUUCUUGCAAAUCCUUUACUGAAUUGGCAGAGCAAGUGUUGUUUAUUUGUGAAAGUUGAACCUAGUAGUAUAAUAGAGAUGACACCAUCAAAUUUAUUUUCUGGCUCCACCCCUGCUUAUAAAAUAGUCAAACUAAGAACUAAAUUUUAUUUCGGGAAGUCUCUAAAGCGGUAAGAUAUGGUUUGGUAUCGUUAGGUCCAAAUACAAGAAACGUUUGCAACACAAAAAUCCGAAUGGUCCCUAAAGUGAUCUGGACUUUGCCAUGUGUCCCGUUGAAAAGUAUUUUCACAAUGAUGCGCUACCCUACACUUUGCGGCCAGGUCAUCAUCAAACAUGAAAAACAGGAAAGAAAAUCGUCGGCAUGUUACCGUUUACAAGGGGAAGGAAUUUGGUAUAGAUGACCUAGUAUAUAUACUAGUUUCAUCAAUAAAUUUGAUCCAAAUACCAGUACCACCACCAGUGACCACCGGAUACGUUACUAUACGUCCCAAACCUACUAAUAAUCGGAUCGGAUCAGCACAUUUAUGGUGAGCAAUCAGUGAGCAGACAGUAGGUACUCUACAUACGUCUGAAAGCCGAUCGAAUCGAAUCAAACCUUCUCUACAUUUUCUACCAGUAUCAAAUGCAUCAUCACAUCGCAUCAAAUCACAUUAAUUUUGCUUGUUUUAAAUCAGGGGAAGGAAUAUUUGGACACAUACCGAAGGGCUUGGCGGCACCGUCGUCUCUGUCUCUCUUCCCCACGCCGCGUGCGCGGUGCUCUGCUUUCGGCGGCCCUGCUUUUGGUGAGAGAAAACACAGCUGCCUUUCGUUCACUCAUUCCGUCCAUGCCGUGCCACCGACACCAAGAAGAAGAAAGAAAGAUAUUUGUGGUGCUUACCCUGUUGCCGCUGCCGCUGCCGCUGCUCUUGAGCUGGUCCGGCCUCCGCCGUCGCCUCUCCUCCUCGAUUCCGUUGCGUUAAUCCUGGUCAAUUUAGCAUAUGAUUCGAUCAGUCAGAGAGGGAGGCACGCAUCACUGUCUCCAAAGAACAAGCUGACUUCGUCGGAUUCUUUCUUUCCAGCGGCGAGGUAGUGCGGCAUUAAUGGUCUCCAGAGUCCGUACUUGAAAUUGGGGUGCUGGGAGUUACAGCAGGGGCAGGGGUGGUGGUGGUGGAUCCUAACCUGCUUCGCCGGCGCGACCGGAGGACUUGGUCGCCUGGUGCUUCUUCCGGUGCGGCGUCAUGGCGGAGACGGCUGCUGCAGAUGGACGAACACGGACGAACGAACGUAUCAAGGGAGGGGCAAGACCGGCAAGGAAUCUAGAACCGAGAGAAGAGCGAGCGAUGCGCCGGGCGGGAGCGAAGGCACGGCGGCUGUGUCGAUCACCGGGGAGUGCGUACGUACCGUCAGGGGAGGCGACGGCGAACUGCUGGGAGACGACGAAGUAGGCGAGGAGCACGAGGAGGAAGCCGGCGACGAAGCAUAGGUUGAGGUGCCGCUGCGCCCAGGCGCCCACCGUCAGCCCCUUCCCGGCAGACGCCGGCGCCGGCGCCGACUGCUUCUCCACGCUGACCAUCUCCUCCUCCGUCUACCGGCCGCGGCACGAGGUUCUUGCUCCCUUGAAUGAGCGGCGGACUGGCGUCGCUGGUUCACAUGGGAGAGAGCUGUAGAUGGCUAGGGACGGGACAGAUGGUGUGGCAUGCAGAUGCAGAUGCAGUGUGCGACUUUGGGUUGGGGUUCCCAAAGCUUCGGCGCCCGCUGGCUUUCUCCUCCAUCGAUCGGUGGCCAUUUUGUACCCAUCCGGCGGCCACCCGGGCGGCGCCUUUCGCACUUAACCCCCUACUACUACUACUACAGAGUACAUAGAACCCAACCCAACGGUUUGGUGAAUGAUGAGGAGCAAUUAAGUCGACCCUUGAGCGACCGGUGAGAGCAACUCUGGUGAGAGCAACUCUAGCAGACCCGUAAAAAAUUUACCCGUAAAACACAUUUGCGGUUUCACGAAGAUCGCGUUUGCGGGUUGAAAACAUAUGUGAUCGAACAGAACCCGUAUCAAAACCUGUAUAAUUUAAAAAAAACACUUUCGCGGAAAAAAUUACACAAACAUAGUUCAUCACAUGAUCAACAAACUACAAGCAUAGUUACACUACAUACUACGUUAAACUAGUAAUAGAGGGGUCGGCGCUCCGCCUCCUCGCGCACGCUCCGCUCCAGCGGGCUCCUCCUUCACCGGGACGAAGGCGAACGGCGCCGGCUCCUCCGGCUCCUCCUCGUCGUCCGACCACUCCCUCUUCACGGGAAGAAAGCCCAUGCCAGAGGACGAGGAGGAUCCGGCAUAGGAAGAUCUCGCGGAGGAGAAGGACGUGCUACGGCGGUCGUACUCCUCCAUCUCGCGGCGGUUGAAGCUCGCCGGCGGCGACAUCCUGCGGUCGGUCCACCUCCGGGCGUCGCGCUUCCUCGCGCCGUCCGUCCGGACGAGCCGCUCGCGCUCCGGGUCCCUCUCACGGUCGGAUCUGCUGCCGGAGCCGCGUCCGAAGCUCCACAUUCGGCCCCACAUGACGGCUGGAGGCGAGGCGGGUGGUCGCCGGCGGCGAGAAAUGUGGAGAAAGGAAAGGGGAAUCGGGUGGCUCGCGGCGGCGGGGCGAUAGGGUUUGGACCCGCAAAAUGGUCGCGGAACCGCAGUUAUACUGCUCGGGGCGUGCGGUUUAUGUGCUACGGUAAAAAAAUGUGCGGACCGGGCGAGUAUGCGGGCUCUGUUCUAACCGAAAAAUUAGGUCGAGUCCGCAUACUAGCCGGAAUUUUUAGGGACCGGACGUUUUGCGGGAUGUGCUAGAGUUGCUAUAAGGAACAAUAACUAUUAUUAGAAAGCAACAAUCCUUAACACGGGCAUCAAGCCCGAGUGAGCACAUGAUUCUAUCGUAGAGAUCAGUUUGUCCUUGUCUCAGCACCAUCAUUCAGACUGGACCUGCCACGAGUGUUAGAUCUAUCAACCAGAAUGGUCAUAUCCCGCACCAUCGUCCUAACACCAGCCUGAAAACCAUCUUCCUUACAUUUAAAUUCUACUACUAUAAAGUCGCACAAAUUCAUAUUAGUAUCACUAUACUGUUUCUUAGAGGAUGCGGUUUAGCGGAUUUGCUAAAGAUGCCAUGAGCCUCCUCUCCCCGCGCUAGACACGCAUAUGUUCCUCCCCAACCAUCCCGACCGUGACGGCAAUGAUGAGUAUACAGUAUACAUGAUCCGUAAUGCCCAAGGGACGGAUUUCACCAACUGGCGAGGUGAUAUGUGAAAAAACAUAGUAGUUUUUCCAAUGCUAAUAAGCGCGUGCGGGCCCGGAUACUGCCCGGGUCAUGCGUUUCUUUUAGCAUAACGAAGGGGCUGUUGAUCUGUCAUUCGGCUUGAUAGAAACAAAACAUGCAUGUCGUAAGCUAAACCAGCAGCUCUUGCAUCAGACAAAAAACCUUACGGCUGUGGGUCACUUGGCUUAGGUUAAUCUACAUGUCUGAUCACACUUGGAAGCACAGUUGGAAGCUGCUGCCUGGGGUCCAUGAACCCUUUUUUUUAGAUAUAAUCAGUGUGCCGAGACGCGGACAUGUGCAAGACGCAGAUGCAGACAUGUGCCCAAGUCCACCGACGAAGCCGAGGCUGGGAAAUGUUGUGAUGUGCAAAGCGUGGUGCGUGAAGACGUUCCUCCUCCCCGCGUUCGAUCAGGUUAGAGCAAUUCCAACCGUUCGAUUCACUUUAUCAGCGCGUGUUUAUUUGGUUGCCGCGGACCAAAAAUAUAUAUCAAAUGUGUCUAUGUAAAUUAAAUUGUGUCCGUUACAUAUCCGUUAGGACUGAAAUUGGUGUGAGGGGACUCAAACCAAACCCAGCACGUUGGGGGCGUUAGAGGCGCUGGGGAAAGGAAUUCNNNNNNNNNNNNNNNNNNNNNNNNNNNNNNNNNNNNNNNNNNNNNNNNNNNNNNNNNNNNNNNNNNNNNNNNNNNNNNNNNNNNNNNNNNNNNNNNNNNNAGACAAGCCUCCGAAGUCUUCGAGGUGUACUCCAUCGAUCGCAAUCCCUAUUCGACGCUCGUGAGCGUCAAAAGGGGGCACGCAGCUUCGCUCAAGCUUGAUCUYAMRUWCGUCGWSGCUSGUUCGUUUCSUUUCUUUSUUUCUUUUUUGUCUUUUCUUUUCUUCUUUCCUUUUUAUUCUUUCCUUUUCUGCUUCUGUUUCUUUUUUUAUUUUAUUUCCUUUUUCAUGCAUAAUGAAAGGUUCAUUCUUCUUUGGAAAAAGAGUUCAUUCCGUGUUUAUACACAAAAAUGUUCAUCUUAUUCCAAACAAAAAAAUGUUCAACUUAUAUUUAACGAGUCUUCACCCCAUAUUACGAAAAUGCUUAACUUAUUUUUAAAUUUGCUCAUUGUGUAUGCUAAAAUUGUUCAGCGCAUAUCACAAAAUUGUUCAAUGUGUAUUUAAAUAUUUGUUUCAUCUUAUGUCACAAAAAUGUUCAAUGUGUACUUAAAUAAUGUUCGCAUUGUAUAAAAAUAUGUUUGAAGAUUGUUCAGAGCAUAUUAAAAUGUUUAUCGUACAAAAGUUUCAACAAUCUUUUGGAAUUUUAAAAGUGUGUUCACAUUUUUCAAACGUUUGUUCACUGUAUGUAAAAAAAUGUCCAUUGCCUAUACGAGAAUUGUUCAGUGUGGAAAAAAUAGUUCACCAUAUAUUAAAAAAUGUUCAGUUGAUAUUUGAGUAAAGUUCACCAUAUACUAAAAACGUUCAAUAUGAAGUUUUAAAUUCAUUCUAUUAAAAUAUUGUUUGGAAUUUUCACCUUAUUUACAUUGUGUCUUGUUCUUAUAGUGGUGCACUGCAAUGUCGACACAGAAGAGCAUCAGCUCGACUAGUUAUACUCGCAUGCGUGUAACGAGAGGUCCCAAGUUGGAUUUUGCCGGUCAUUUGUUUUUGGUAUAUUUUGGCGGUUCGAGAUGUAAUGGGCCAGCCCAAUUUAGGGAGUCCGGAACUAAGGGGUCCUCUAUCGGUUAGCUCAUCCCUUAUAGGCCGAUCAUAUGGACCGCGUUGUUGAAGAUCAGAUUGUGUGACGACCUCAUGCUUGAGAAAGAAUGUUCCGAAGACUGUCAUGUCAUCCAAGCAAAGUAGUCUAGAUCGUCCUAUCUGUCCCCUGCUGGAGGUCGUUUGUAUGUAACCCUAGGAACCCCUGGUGUCUAUAUGAACCAGAAGUUCUCAUCCGCAUUGGAAGGUUGAUUAAUAUAGGGUUUAGCUCAUACGAUCUCAGAGAGAUCAACUCUGUAAUUCUCAUCCACAUCAAUAUAAUCGAACAGGACGUAGGGUUUUACCUCAUCAAGAGGGCCCGGACCUGGGUAAAACAAUGUCUCCUUCUUCUCGUGUAACCUAUCGAUCCAUGGUCCACAGAUCGGGACCCCCUACCUGAGAUCCGCCAGUUUUAACACCAGUAUUGAUGAUUUCAUUGAGAGUUCUGCUGUAGGAUCGCCAGAAGGAUCGAUGGUUAGCUUAAUCAUCAGCAAUCGAAUCAGCAACGGGGACAUCUUCGUUCCCGGACAGGUUCUUGCGUUCGGCAGCUUCACACUGCGCGCCAACCCGACCGACUGUUUUGACCAGAUCGGAGGCUUCGUCUCGAGUCAGGAAAUAAGGUUUGGGAAUCUCGAAUUCUCCGCCGACUCGCGGGGCAAUCUGUUCCCCGCUAAGAUCACGGUUUCGUCCGAUGAGCUCCAAAAUCUCGAAGCCUUGACUUCGAGUCUCUUGUCGGGCCAUGACCUCGGUUCCCUCGUUGUCGAAGAGUUGGCCUUGAGCCCGAACCCGACCUAAGUGCGCGCGCAACAGCAAACGGUCAUUGCCGAACACGCAUCCCUAAAGUGGCAUUGAACUGCGACAGACGCGUCUUAUGGUACCGAGUCGUUACAUGGUGGCAAAGUGUGGUAGCUCCUUGCAAUUAACUCCAGGUGUCAGGAUCUAUUCGUCCGAUCAAUUUCCAUUUUUUUUCUUUAAUCUCUUCCUUUCCAUUUAAACAUAAUCAUAUAAAAUUGCAUGAUUGGUUGCGGGAGCAUCAAUAAGAAGAAUAUACGAAAGCGCAUGCUAAUACACAAAUAUCAUCGACCGGCCCUCCCGUGUCAAAUUUAAAGGUUGGUUGAAACAUGUGGUGCCGCCAUAGCUAUGCUUAUGCACGAAAAGUACCCAAUAAUCAAAAAUUAUAUGAUUUCAUAUCACGCUUACCACAAGUAAAACAGCAUAUAUUCACCACAACACAUUGUGCGCUGUGAGUAGAGGCAUGGCGAACUGCACAGGACAGAGUGUGCUUUUUAUUCGACUUCAUCUCCGACUAGAGCGUGUGGCAUGCCAUCGCCGACGGUCACCACGCGGACACCGGCCACCUCAGGCAUAGUUAUGCUUAUGAGGCUGUGUUGAGCAUGCUGCCACAGCCAGAGCCACAACCUGAACCAUGGCCACCAGAGUUGGCAUGGUUAGUCUCCCAUGAUCAUGCCACCACAUCCACCGCCACCGCACCCGGCGCCACAGCCUGAACCGCAGCCCCCAGACUUGGCAUGGCUCAUCUUGGAGCCUUCCAUGAUCAUGCGGCCACAUCCGCCGCCACCGCAGCCGGCACCACAGCCUGAACCACAGCCCCCAGACUUGGCGUGGCUCAUCUUGGAACCUUCCWUGACCAUGCCGUCACAACCGCCGCCACCGCAGCCGGCGCCACAGCCUGAACCACAGCCCCCAGACUUGGCAUGGCUCAUCCUGGAACCUUCCUUGACCAUGCCGUCACAAN
rnacentral:lncRNA from 1 species